CAGGACUGGUGCGUUUAGGCACCUAAACUUCAUCGAAAGUGUUUAUAACCUUCAAGCUGGGGAUCAUCUUGUGCGAAAAGUUAGAACUAGAAGGGGUGAGCUGAAAAGAACCCACGCACCUAGUCAGACAAAGAAGAGAAGAUGUCUGCUUGGGCGCGUGAGAAGAGGCUGGUCUGGCGCGACCAACCAGACCCCCGUCUGAUCCCACGCGCGACUGAACCACGAAGAGAGGAGAGGGGGCCGACUGCUCUCGCCCUCGACGCUGCUCACCUACCACCAGAUCGAGGAGAGGAACAUCAGAUCGGAGGAGGAGAAAAGGGGAUCGAGGGAAGAGAAGGGAUCGAGGGUUUCGGGAGGCUGGCGACCUGGCUGAUCCACCGCGAGGCCUCUCCGCUCUGACCGACGCCCGCGCUGCUCUUCUCCUACCCCGACCGCGAGGCCUCUCCGCUCUGACCGACGCCCGCGCUGCUCUUCUCCUACCCCGACGACCGCGCUGCUCUUCUCCAACCUCAACGACCGCUGCUGAUCUUCUCCAACACCGACGCCCGCAUCGCUCUGCUUCAACUCAGACGCCCGUUGCAGCUGUUCGUCCCCAACUCCGAUGAUAGCCGCUGUGGCAUCUCCUGCGGGGCGCCGGACUCCUGGUGAUUCUUUGCUCCGGGUGGUCGGCUGAUCUCCCGUGAAGGCCACCACGAUUCCUUCACAAGGCCGGGACCUCUGCUGUUCUCCUUCGCCUGCAACAUCUACAGCUUCGAAUUGAAGCUCACCAAGACCAUAGGCUCUGAACUUCUCUCUUCUCCUGUCAUUGUUUUCUGAAUAUAUGCAUUGUUGGAUCUGAAAAUUGCUCUGUUUCCUAUGUACCCUUGCUGAAAUCUCAUGUAUUCUUGCUGGAUGGUUGUGACACUUGCUGAAUAUUCAGAUAGUAGUUAUUCUCCUGUGAGCUGCUGUCAUUUUAAUUGAUUGCAUGAGUGUGUGUGAUGUCUGAACCAUUUACCUUUGCUGCAUAUUGUUUUUGUUUUACCUUGCUCUAGUAAUUGCUUGUUGUCACUAUUGUUUGAUUCAUCUGUCCGGUUGUUCUGAAUGUUUCGAGUGUGUGCUUUGAAGUUCUAGAUCCCUGUGGAGAACACGACAUCCGUAGUUUGGGCGUAAAAACCCUGCUAUAUCACUAACGAUCAACACAUCCUACGAACGCACGCUUCAUGGCGGGCUUAACCCGGGCAGGACUCGCACGCUGAGCCGUCUCGACGAGGUCGGUGCAGAUGUCCAGCUCAGGGCCCGGUUCGCCGAUCUUGCCGAUGAAGACAUGAAUUCCGCCAAAGGGGACCCGGUACCCGUACUCGACUCAGCCGACCUCGGGGCCCCAUCCUUCGUCGUCGAUGUAGAGCUUGCCGCGAUGACUCUUGGUCAUCCGGCCAACUGCGUACCCUUGAGUCCUUCAAAGCUGCCCUUCAAGAACUCGAAACCAUCGUGCGACAGCCCCACGGUGGGCGCCAACUGUUGUGGAAUUAACACGUCAGAUGUCCUCAUGAAAGGACUUAGUCGUGGAGCCAUCGCGACGGGUUAGCUUAAGGGGUUAAACCAGACAAGGGACACGGGAGUUUUUAUACUAGUUCGGCCCCUUCGAUGAAGGUAAAAGCCUACGUCUAGUUGUGAUGGAAUUGAUUGGGUUUCGAUGACCAGGGAGCAAAUAUGCUUUGUCUGGGUCUCGGGUUGUUGUUUCUUGCCCCUGAACCGCCACCGGGUCGUCCCUUUAUAUACAUAGGUUGACGCCCGGCCGGUCUACAGAGUCCCGAGGCCGACUCAUACAAGUGUCCGGCUCGGUCUCUCCUUUCCUAACUUACAAUACAAGUUACAUAACCAUGGCGGUUUACCACUAUGGGCCCUAAUCCGCCUUUGGGCUCCGGGCCUCUAAGCUUCAUUAGUAAAGCGCCAUCUUUUGGGUCUUCGUGGGCUUCAAUAUAGUUGAAGGUGAACCGGCCCCUCCUGGCCAGUUUACACUCAGUAGUUAUAUCCCCAACACCUGGUACUGACAAAUCCAGAGGUUUGGGCAACACCGUGAACACUGGUGUGUGAUCUGGCACAUGAGAUUUUAACUGUGAGAUGUGGAACACUGGAUGAACCUGACUUCCUUUAGGUAACUCGAGCUUGUAGGCAGCAGCUCCAAUUUUGGAUAUGAUCUUGAAUGGGCCAAAAUAUUUCAGUGCUAACUUAGGGCAGGGCCUGUUAACCAUUGAUGACUAAGCAUACAGUUGAAGCCGCAAAUAGACUUUUUCACCUUCAAAAAACUCUUGAGGAGACAUGUUCUUGUCAGCAUAAUGUUUGUACUUCACUUGUGCCCUGUGUAAAUGUUCCUUCAAUCUACUAGUAUGUUCUGUCUGAGCAGAGAGCCAGCUAUGCACUUCACCAUUGAAAGAAGAGUGAUUACCAGCCAGUUGUCCAAUGUUGGGAUCAUGCACAUAGAGUGCCUUGUAAGGUGUACAGCCCAGUGAUGAAUGGAAUGUAGAAUUGUACCAAAAUUCUGCUUGAGGCAACCAACUUUUCCAUUUUGCAGGGCAUACAUGAACAUCACAUCUUAAGUACAUUUCUAGGCACUGAUUUACCGUCUCAGUCUGACCAUCAGUUUGUGGAUGAUAUGCAAUGCUCAUCUGUAAUUCAGUACCCCACACUCUGAAUAACUCCUUUCAAACUGAACUGGUAAAUAUCUUGUCUCUGUCAGAUAUUAUAAAUAGUGGUAAACCAUGCGACUUGACCACACUGUUCAAGAAAGCUUUGGCAACUCCAGCAGCAGUAAAAGGAUGUUUUAGGGGUAUGAUGUGACUGACUUUAGUGAACCUAUCCACCACCACUAAAAUAGAACUGCAGCCCUCAGAUUUUGGUAACCCUUCAAUGAAAUCCAUACUUAUAGAUUGCCAUGGUCCUUCAGGAAUGGGUAAGGGUUGUAACAUACCAGGUGAUUUACAUAACUCAUGUUUUGCUUGUUGACACACAGCACAUUGCUUGACAAAGUUUUCAAUGUCUCCUUUCAUACCCUGCCAAUGGAACAGUUGUAUCACUCUGAAAUAUGUUGGCAAAAUUGCUGAAUGUCCUCCCAUAGGAGAAGAAUGAAAAGCUUGUAUUAGUCUGGUUUUAAGUCCAGUAUUUGCUCCUAUCCAAAUCUGAUCAUUGUGCUUCAAAAUUCCUUUAUGCAACUGAAACUUGGACAAGCAACAAGAUCUAGAGCCAUCUUUUGUAGCAUUUCUUGAGCUUCAGGGUCUAUAGUGUAAGAGUUCAUAACUUCUUGUAUCCAAACUGGCUGAGAUGUAGAUACAACCUGAACUGGAAAAAGAUGAGCAACUAUGGACAGAGCAUCUGCUACAGUGUUUUCAACUCCUUUCUUAUACUGAAUGUUGAACUGUAAACCCACUAAUUUAGUUAUAACUUUUCUCUAUAGCUCUGAAGUCAGCACUUGAUCUCCUAGGUGACACAGACUCUGAUGGUCUGUUUUGAUGAUGAAGGGCCCUCUUGACAAAUAAGUUCUCCACUUAUCAAUUGCCAUCAUAAUUGCCAAGAAUUCUUUCUCAUAUAUGGAUAGCUGCUUAUUUUUAAUGCUUGGAGCCUUGCUGUAAAAAGCAACUGGGUAUCCUUCCUGUGUUAGCACAGCUCCCACUCCAGGGUCACAAGCAUCUGUUUCUACACAGAAAGGCUUAUCAAAAUUUGGCAGAGCUAGUACAGGAGUAGUUGGUAUUGCUUGCUUCAAUUGUUCAAAAGCUGCUUGAGCUUCAGGUGUCCACUGAAAAGCAUGUUUUUUCGGCAACAGAGAUAAGGGUUUUGCCAAUAUUCCAUAGUUCUGAACAAAUUUCUUGUAGUAUCCAGUCAGACCUAGAAAUCCCCUCAAUUCUGUAACAUUGUUGGGUACUGGCCACUCCAACAUAGCAGCAGUUUUUGAGGGAUCACUGGCUACUGAUGAUGGUACAGACCUGGGGUAUGGUCAUAGGCCUGACCUAUACGCCCUACCCAUGCUCAUUGCCCUAGAAGCAAAGAAGCUCAAGAGACAACAUGGAGUACCCAAUAAAGACGUCGAGUGCAAUCCACUCGACCAAUCAACCACUCGGGUACCCCUCCUUUCCGAAGUCACACGACCAGUAAACCACUCGACCAUACAAGAAACCACUCGACCUACUGAAGACCAGGAGUCACUCAGAACAGCAACGGGCAAGCAUUCACUCUGUAGUCUUUAAGGUCAUUUAAGGCAUUUAAGGCAUUUAAGGCUGGCAUUACCAGUAACACCCCAAUAUUUAUGUACAUUGAACCCUCUGUAACAGGAGAUGGCUGGGGUCCUGGCAAACUCUAUAUAAGCCACCCCCUCCUCUGGCACAAGGGUUCGCACCCCCUGUACCACACACACACUCAUAUAAUCCAGUCGACCGCCUCCGGGCACCGAGACGUAGGGCUUUUACCUCCUCCGAGAGGGGCCUGCACUUGUAAACACUUCCGUACAAUCUUGCCGUAGCUAGGACCUUGCCUCCUCAUUCGUACCCCCUACACUUACUGUCAGACUUAGUACCACGACAGUUGGCGCCCACCGUGGGGCCAAAGCGUCUUAGCGACUUCCGACGAGGUUGCAUUUUCUUCGACCUUCAUCAGCAUGGUUUUCGGUGGCGGUUUGGUCAUGGGCCGCGAGUUCUGACUCGGCGCGUUCACUUUCGUCACCGACGACUCUGCCUGGCUCCAGGAGGCCCCCCUCAACGUCAAGGCUCUCCCGGCUCGUGGUUCAGCACACUUCUGUGUGAGUUCCUGCGGCGUCCUCCUCAGGCAGCCGUCUUCACCAUACCAGUUGCCAUCGCGUCAUUGACACACUCCGUUGGACGUCGCUGCAAACGGUCUGGUCGUUCACGACUCCAGCGAUGGGUGAUACACGCAGUGGCUCGUCAGGCCUUCACCCCCCAAGUCGUGGUGAUUGAGCCCGACAUGUAUCCUCGCGGAUCGGUUGACCUGUCGACUGAUUUUGCAGAUACUAUUUCUGAGAGCGGGAGUUGUGACCCCGCGGCGGAGGUCCUCAUGGUCGACUCCCAUCGCGGUCCGCCUGGCUUUCGUCGCAGCAGCGACGGCGGCAGGAGCGUCGGUCCGUCACUCGACCACGAAGAGUACCAGCCCCAACCUCUCAGCUCGCAGCAGAGAGAGGAGCUGCACCGCUGCAACGUGGAGGCUCUUCAGACCCCCAUCAUAGGGGAAACCGCCAAGGCCCGGGCCUUGGAGGUGGUGCGCCUGGCAACUCUGGCCGAGCGCACUCGUCUAGAGAAUCUCUAACAUUCUCUCGACGAGCAUGCCCAUCGACUGAUUCCGGAGCCUAGUCGGCAUCCACGACAGUUGUUUCCACUGGAAACUUAGGUAUUCCAUACACCGAUUCAGAAUUUGGCAGCCGCUGCACGUAUUGCAGAGUCUAUUCAGCUGUCUCGUUUAGAGGCUGGGAGAGGCCUAGAGCAGAUCAGAACGCUGAGCAGCAGGAGACCAGAACUCCGCUGUGUCUCAGUUGCGGAACAGAAUCCACAGCAGAUCAGUGAGAGCAGAUACCGUUCAGUCGGCUCAUAGUCCUAGGUCCCCUUUGCGACAGGGAGGCUGUGAUCACCGUCAGGAUCGGUACCUGGGAAGAGCUCACGGCUAAUAUGAUCAUGAGUACGCCCGCGACAAUUACCGUCGAGUGCUUUCGCCCCUUCCGAGGGAUGGGUCAUACGCGCCCCAACGCAACGACGAGAAGCGUCCAUACGGGAACGACCAUAGAGUUCCAGUCGACCCCGGAGAUCCUGGCUUUGACGCGAGGUCCGUCCUCAUGCAAGGUUUGGUCGACCGAAACAGAGCAUACAGAGAAUGGCUAGAUCGGGACAGACCAAGUGGAGGCAGAGUCCAUGUUUCAGGCCCCGAAUGUUUUAGAAGGGCCAUCAGAGCUGCUGAGAUACCCCAUAACUUCAGACUGGCGACUGGCGUCAGUAAGUUUAUGGGCGAGUCAAAGCCCGAUACUUGGCUCGAAGACUACCGACUGGCUGUGCAUAUCGGUGGCGGCAGCGACGAGGUGGCCAUGAAGCACCUUCCUCUGAUGCUUGAAGGGUCUGCCAGAGCUUGGCUGACUCAGUUGGCCCCUGGGAGUAUUUUGAGUUGGGAUGAGUUAGCUCGAGUGUUCACCAGAACGUUCGAGGGCACUUGCAAGAGACCUGCCGGUUUGCCGGAGCCGCAACAUUGCGUGCAGAAACCGAACGAAACCUUGAGGGACUAUAUCCAGAGAUGGAUCACUCUGCACCACACAGUGGAGAAUGUGUCAGAUCACCAAGCAGUCUGUGCCUUCAAGGAGGGUGUUCGCUACAGAGAGCUCGUUCUGAAGUUCGGUCAGACUGGAGAUAUGUCUUUGACUCGGAUGAUGGAGAUUGCUACCAAAUAUGCUAACGACAAAGAGGAAGACCGACUCAGGAGUGGCAAGUACAAAAUAGUCGCCCAGGACACCGGAGGAGGAAAUUCUAGUCGGAAGCAGAAGCGAAAGGCUGAGGCAGCAGGUCCUGCCGAGGCAGCAGUGUUGAAUCAAGGAAAGUUCAAAGGGAAACCUAAAGGGCCCUGGACCCCCAAGAAGGUGAAUGAUCAGGAAGGAAAUGAUGUGAUGGAUUUGCCGCAUCAUAUUCACACCAAGAAAGAUGAGGAGGGGAACCUAAUUCUCCCCAAGCAUACCACUUGACAAUGUCGACUCCUAAUCCAGAGCUUCCGAGAGAGUAAACCCAGUGAUAAGGACAAAGAGCCUGAGAAGGAAGAGGAGGAUAAGGACGAUGAUGAUGGUUACCCCAAUGUCAAUGCUACCUUGGUGAUUUUUGCUGAUCCAGAGAGCAGAAGUUGACUAAAGUCAUUAACAGAGAGGUUAACAUGGUUGCUCCGGCAACACCAAGGUAUCUGAAAUGGUCGAAAACCCCCAUUACAUUUGACCAGUUCGACCACCCAGCAUGUGUAGCCACCCCUGGGCGGCAAGCGUUGGUGGUCAACCAAGUCGUAGGGGGCACCCAACUGACCAAGGUUCUGAUAGAUGGAGGCAGUGGUCUGAAUAUCUUGUAUGUUGAGGCCCUCAAAGGAAUGGGCAGUCCGAUGUCCAAACUCAGUGAGAGCAACAUGCGAUUCCACGGAAUCAUUCCAGGCAAGAAAGCCGAAUCACUCAGCCAAAUCACUCUUGACGUGGUAUUCGGCGAUGAGAAGAAUUUCCACAAGGAGAAGUUGACGUUUGAUGUCGUAGAUUUCCAGAGCGCCUAUCAUGCCAUUCUGGGUAGACUCACGUAUGCUACCUUUAUGGCUCGACCAUGCUAUGUAUACCUCAAGAUGAAGAUGACGGGCCCCAAAGGCGUGAUAACGGUUUCAGGAAACCGUAAGAGAGCAGAAGAAUGUCUUUAGGACGGUGCUAAGAUAGCAGAUGAGCAGAUGGCAGCAGUAGAAUUUCAAGAGUACCAGAAGACUGCAGAUCCGAGUGAUUUGCUGUGUGCCAAGAGACCUGCUUCAGAGUCUACAUUUCAGUCGGCCGGUGAAACCAAGCCAGUUCACAUUCACCCGACCGACCCCAAUGCUGCUGUGACCCACAUCUCAACUACACUCGACAGCAAAUAGGAAGAAGCGCUCAUCAAGUUCCUCUGUGAGAACUGGGACAUCUUCGCAUGGAAGCUAGCUGACAUGCCAGGUGUACCCAGGGGACUGGCUGAGCACCGUUUGCGAGUCGACUCCAAGGAAAACCCCGUUAAGGAACACCUCCAUUGGUCCGCCACGGAGAAGAGAAAAGCCAUUGGCGAGGAAGUGGCUCGGCUCCUGGCCGCCGAAUUCAUCCGCGAGAUAUACCACUCUGAGUGGCUCGCCAAUGUUGUUAUGGUUCCCAAGAAAGACAAUUCACUCCGAAUGUGUAUUGACUUCAAGCACAUCAAUCUGGCCUGCCCGAAAGAUCAUUUUCCUCUACCCCGCAUUGACUAGACUGUCGACUCAACUAUGGGAUGUGAGCGACUGUCCUUCCUGGACACUUAUUCUGGGUACCAUCAGAUCCGACUGUAUGGACCCGACGAGAUAAAAACAGCUUUCAUCACCCCGUUUGGGUGUUUUUGCUGUCACUAUGCCCUUCGGGCUCAAGAAUGCUGGUGCCACAUUCAUGCCCAUGAUCCAGAAGUGUCUGCUCACUCAAAUCAGUCGGAAUGUGGAGGCAUACAUGGACGACAUAGUGGUUAAGUCACGGAAAGGUUGUGACCUGCUGAGCUGAAACCUUUGCCAACCUGAGAAGGCAUGAUAUCAAGCUUAAUCCGUCUAAGUGCACAUUUGGUGUCCCAGGUGGAAAGUUACUCGGUUUUCUCGUUUCCGAACAAGGGAUCGACGCAAACCCAGAAAAGAUUAGUACAAUCCUCCGAAUGAAACGCCCGGUGCACGUACAUGACGUUCAGAAGCUUACUGGUUGCUUGGCUGCUUUGAGCCGAUUCAUCUCACGUCUCGGUGAAAAGGCACUGCCUCUUUACCGACUGAUGAAGAAAUCUGACAAGUUUGAGUGGAAUGACGAAGCUGAAGCAACGUUUGCAGAGCUCAAAGCCCUGCUUUCCACCUAGCCGGUGCUUGCUACUCCGGUUAGCAAGGAGCCUCUACUGCUUUACAUCGCAGCCACAGGACAAGUUGUUAGCACAGUGCUCACGGGCGAACGGGAAGAAGAAGGCAAGGCCUUCAAAGUCCAGCACCCCAUGUACUACAUUUCAGAAGUCUUAACCCCAUCCAAGCAGAGAUAUCCUCACUAUCAAAAGCUUGUUUAUGGGAUUUACCUGACCACGAAGAAGGUUGCACAUUAUUUCUCUGAUCACUCAAUUUCGGUCGUCGGCGACGCUCCAUUAUUAGAGAUUAUGAAUAAUAGAGAUGCAAUUGGUCGAGUGGCAAAGUGGGCGAUUGAACUUCUUCCUCUGGAUAUCAAGUUUGAGGCUAAGAAGGCCAUUAAGUCUCAUGCAAUUGCAGACUUCCUCGCAGAGUGGACUGAACAACAAUAGCCGAUUCAAAUUCAGUCAAAACAUUGGACCAUGUUGUUUGACGGAUCCAAGAUGUUAAAUGGCUCUGGUGCAGGAGUGGUUUUAGUGUCCCCACGAGCAGACAAGCUCAGUUAUGUCCUCCAGAUUCACUUUGACUCUUCAAACAAUGAAGCUGAGUAUGAGGCACUCUUAUAUGGGUUGUGUAUGGCCAUUUCACUUGGCGUCCGGCGCCUGAUGGUUUAUGGCGACUCAGAUUUAGUGGUUAACCAAGUAAUGAAGGAAUGGGACGUUAGGAGUCCUGCAAUGACAGGUUACUGCAACGCAGUGAGAAAGCUAGAGAAGAAGUUUGAGGGAUUGGAGCUCCACCACAUACCACGGAUCAAAAACCAAGCUGUUGAUGAUCUUGCGAAUAUAGGUUCCACUCGGAAGCCCAUCCCCAGCAAUGUGUUCUUGGAGCAUCUCCAUACCCCGUCAGUACAAGAAGAUCCCUUCAAGGAAGAGCCUCCACAACCGAUAAGUCCAACCAACCCGACUGAGAUAGAGGUUCCAGCCGUGGUUGACCUGAUCAUGGAAGUCUUGGUGAUCACUCCCAAUUGGAUGGUUCCAUACAUCACGUACAUUCUCAGAAAAGAGCUCCCAGAGGACGAAGACGAGGCUCGCCAGAUAGUCCGUCGAUCCAAAGCUUUCACCGUGAUGAAAUGGCAGCUUUACAGAGAGAGUGUCACGGGAUUAGCCCAACGCUGCAUCACCCCGGAAGAAGGUCAAAUUAUCCUAAAUGAUAUCCACUCGGGGACCUGUGCUCACCACGCAUCCUCUCGGACCAUCAUAGCCAAAGCAUACCGAGCAAGAUUUUAUUGGCCUCAGGCAAAUGAGAUGGCGAAAGAUAUAGUCGACAAGUGCGCAUGUUGCCAGUUUUACUCCAACAUGUCUCACAAGCCCGCAUCCGCCCUGAAGACUAUUCCACUCAUCUGGUCGUUUGCAGUCUGGGGAAUGGAUAUGGUUGGGCCCUUCAAAACUGGUGCGAGUGGCUUCACCCAUUUGCUCGUAGCAAUCGACAAGUUUACCAAGUGGAUCAAAGCCAAGCCCAUCAAGAACCUUGGAGCAGGCACUGCCGUCAGUUUCAUCAGAGAGUUGAUAUUCAGAUAUGGAGUUCCUCACAGCAUCAUCACAGAUAAUGGAUCCAACUUUGAUUCUGAUGAGUUCAAGGCGUUCUGUGCAUAUCAAGGCACUCGGGUCAACUACGCGUCUGUCGUGCACCCACAGUCGAAUGGACAGGCUGAAAGGGCGAAUGGUUUGAUCCUUCAGGGGUUAAAGCCUCGUCUGAUGCGUGAUCUUAAGCAUGCUGCUGGAGCUUGGGUGACCGAAUUACCAUCAGUCUUAUGGGGGCUGAGAACAACACCCAACCGGUCGACUGAUCGAACCCCCUUCUUCCUGGUAUACGGCGUCGAGGUUGUGCUUCCAAGUGACUUGCUACACAAUGCUCCCAGAGUUGAAAUGUUCUUAGAAGCCAAAGUAGAGCAAGCACGCAGAAACGCGGUUGAUCUCUUGGAGGAAGAACGCGAGAUGGAUUUGGUUCGGUCGACCAUUUAUCAGCAGGAUCUACGUCGAUUCCACGCCCGCAAUGUCAGAGGUCAAGCGUUUUAGGAAGGAGACCUUGUGCUCUGAGUGGUGCAGAAACAACCUCACAAGCUCGCUCCGGCCUGGGAAGGUCCCUUCAUCGUCACCAAGGUGCUUCAUAAUGGAGCUUAUCACAUCUACAACAUAGUCAAGAAAAUGGACGAGCCACAUGCAUGGAACGCAGAGCUGCUUUAUCCUUUCUAUACUUAAAAUCACUCGACCUGACGACUUGUAAUAAAAGCACUCUAGUUUGUUUUCCAAAGUCAAGAUUUUUACAGUAUCUUAAUGAUUGGUUUCCCACAAUCAUUUGUGUCCAAAUCCCCCAGUGGGUGGCUUAGCUGCGAACUGGAUUCGCCUAAGUUAAAAAAACAUUCCGAGUGGACAGCAAUCUUCCCACUCGGAAGCUUAGUUGCGACCCCGUAAUCGCCUAAGUUAAAAACAUUCCGAGUGGAGAUAAAUCCUCCCACUUGGGGGCAUAGCUGUGACCCCGUAAUUGCCUAAGUUAAAAACAUUCUGAGUGGAGAUCAAUCCUCCCACUCGGGGGCUUAGCUGCGACCCCGUAAUCGCCUAAGUUAAAAACACUCCGAGUGAGGACCAAUCCUCCCACUCGGACGCUUAGCUGCGACCCCGUAAUCGCCUAAGUUAAAAUCAUUCCGAGUGGAGAGCAAUCCUCCCACUCGGGGGCUUAGAUGCGACCCCAUAAUCGUCUGUUAAAAACANNNNNNNNNNNNNNNNNNNNNNNNNNNNNNNNNNNNNNNNNNNNNNNNNNNNNNNNNNNNNNNNNNNNNNNNNNNNNNNNNNNNNNNNNNNNNNNNNNNNNNNNNNNNNNNNNNNNNNNNNNNNNNNNNNNNNNNNNNNNNNNNNNNNNNNNNNNNNNNNNNNNNNNNNNNNNNNNNNNNNNNNNNNNNNNNNNNNNNNNNNNNNNNNNNNNNNNNNNNNNNNNNNNNNNNNNNNNNNNNNNNNNNNNNNNNNNNNNNNNNNNNNNNNNNNNNNNNNNNNNNNNNNNNNNNNNNNNNNNNNNNNNNNNNNNNNNNNNNNNNNNNNNNNNNNNNNNNNNNNNNNNNNNNNNNNNNNNNNNNNNNNNNNNNNNNNNNNNNNNNNNNNNNNNNNNNNNNNNNNNNNNNNNNNNNNNNNNNNNNNNNNNNNNNNNNNNNNNNNNNNNNNNNNNNNNNNNNNNNNNNNNNNNNNNNNNNNNNNNNNNNNNNNNNNNNNNNNNNNNNNNNNNNNNNNNNNNNNNNNNNNNNNNNNNNNNNNNNNNNNNNNNCCAUAAUCGCCUAAGUUAAAAACAUUCCGAGUGGAGAGCAAUCCUCCCACUCGGGGGCUUAGCCGCGACCCCAUAAUCGCCUAAGAUAAAAACAUUCCGAGUGGAGAGCAAUCCUCCCACUCGAGGGCUUAGCUCCGACCCCGUAAUCGCCUAAGUUAAAUACACUCCGAGUGGAGAGCAAUCCUCCCACUCGGGGGAUUAGCUGCGACCCCGUAAUUGUUGGGUAACGUAGUAAUUUCAAAAAAAAAAAAUCCUACGCACACGCAAGAUCAUGGUGAUGGCAUAGCAACGAGAGGGGAGAGUAUUGUCUACGUACCCUCGUAGACCGUUAAGCGGAAGCGUUAUGACAACGUGGUUGAUGUAGUCGUACGUCUUCACGAAUCGACCGAUCCAAGCACCGAACGUACGGCACCUCCGUGUUCAGCACAUGUUCAGCUCGAUGACGUUCCCCGGGCUCCAAUCCAGCUAAGCGUCGGGGAUGAGUUCUGUCAGCACGACGGCGUGGUGACGAUGAUGAUGUUCUACCGGCACAGGGCUUCGCCUAAACUCCGCGACGAUAUGACUGAGGUGGAAUAUGGUGGAGGGGGCACCGCACACGGCUAAGGAACGAUCCGUAGAUCAACUUGUGUGUCUAUGGGGUGCCCUCCUCCCCCGUAUAUAAAGGGGGAGAGGAGGAGGGGGCCGGCCUAAGGGGAGGCGUGCCCUAGGAGGGGAAAACCUACUCCAAGUAGGUUUGCCCCCUCCCUUUCCUAUUCCAAGAAGGAGGGGGAAGGAAGGAGUGGGAGAGGGGGAAGGCAAGGGGGGCGCCGCCCCCCCUUUCCUUGUCCUAUUCGGACUCAAUGGGAGGGGGCACGCCUCUUGCCCUGGCCGGCCCCUCUCUCUCUCCACUAGGGCUCAUCAAGGCCCAUUACUUCUCGGGGGGGGGGGGGGCCGGUAACCCUCCGGUACUCCGGUUUUUCUCGGAAAAUACCCGGAACACUUCCGGUGUCCGAAUAUAGUCAUCCAAUAUAUCAAUCUUUAUGUCUUGACCAUUUCGAGACUCCUCGUCAUGUCCAUGAUCACAUCCGGGACUCCGAACAACCUUUGGUACAUCAAAACUUAUAAACUCAUAAUAAAACUGUCAUCGUAACGUUAAGCGUGCGGACCCUACGGGUUCGAGAACUAUGUAGACAUGACCUAGAACUAUUCUCGGUCAAUAACCAAUAGCGGAACCUGGAUGUUCAUAUUGGUUCCCACAUAUUCUACGAAGAUCUUUAUCGGUCAAACCGCAUAACAACAUACGUUGUUCCCUUUGUCAUCGGUAUGUUACUUGCCCGAGAUUCGAUCGUCGGUAUCCAAUACCUAGUUCAAUCUCGUUACCGGCAAGUCUCUUGACUUGUUCCGUAAUACAUCAUCUCAUAACUAACUCAUUAGUUACAAUGCUUGCAAGGCUUAGGUGAUGAGUAUUACCGAGAGGGCCCAGAGAUACCUCUCCGACAAUCGGAGUGACAAAACCUAAUCUCGAAUUAUGCCAACUCAACAUGUACCUUUGGAGACACCUGUAGAGCACCUUUAUAAUCACCCAAUUACAUUGUGACGUUUGGUAGCACACAAAGUGUUCCUCCGGUAAACGGGAGUUGCACAAUCUCAUAGUUGCAGGAACUUUGUAUAAGUCAUGAAGAAAGCAAUAGCAACAUACUAAAUGAUCAAGUGCUAAGCUAACGGAAUGGGUCAAGUCAAUCACAUCAUUCUCCUAAUGAUGUGAUCCCAUUAAUCAAAUGACAACACAUGCCUAUGGUUAGGAAACAUAACCAUCUUUGAUCAAUGAGCUAGUUCAAGUAGAGGCAUACUAGUGACACUAUGUUUGUCUAUGUAUUCACACAUGUAUCAUGUUUCCGGUUAAUACAAUUCUAGCAUGAAUAAUAAACAUUUAUCAUGAUAUGAGGAAAUAAAUAAUAACUUUAUUAUUGCCUAUAGGGCAUAUUUCCUUCAGUCUCCCACUUGCACUAGAGUCAAUAAUCUAGAUUACAUAGUAAUGAUUCUAACACCCAUGGAGUCUUGGUGCUGAUCAUGUUUUGCUCGUGAGAGAGGCUUAGUCAACGGGUCUGCAACAUUCAGAUCCGUAUGUAUCUUGCAAAUCUCUAUGUCUCCCACUUGGACUUGGUCCCGAAUGGAAUUGAAGCGUCUCUUGAUGUGCUUGGUCCUCUUGUGAAAUCUGGAUUCCUUUGCCAAGGCAAUUGCACCAGUAUUGUCAUAGAAGAUCUUCAUUGGUCCCGAUGCACUAGGUACAACACCGAGAUCGGAAAUGAACUCCUCCAUCCAGACUCCUGCAUUUGCUGCUUCCGAAGCAGCUAUGUACUCCACUUCACAUGUAGAUCCCGCCACGACGCUUUGUUUAGAACUGCACCAACUUACAGCUCCACCGUUUAAUAAAAAUACGUAUCCGGUUUGCGAUUUAGAAUCGUCCGGAUCAGUGUCAAAGCUUGCAUCGACGUAACCAUUUACGACUAGCUCUUUGUCACCUCCAUAUAUGAGAAACAUAUCCUUAGUCCUUUUCAGGUAUUCCAGGAUGUUCUUGACCGCUGUCCAGUGACCCACUCCUGGAUUAAUUUGGUACCUCCCUGCCAAACUAACAGCAAGGCACACAUCAGGUCUGGUACACAGCAUUGCAUACAUGAUAGAGCCUAUGGCUGAAGCAUAGGGAACUCCUUUCAUUUUCUCUCUAUCUUCUGUAGUGGUCGGGCAUUGAGUCUGACUCAACUUUAUACCUUGUAAUACAGGCAAGAACCCUUUCUUUGCUUGUUCCAUAUUGAACCUUUUCAAUACUUUAUCAAGGUACGUGCUUUGUGAAAGUCCAAUCAAGCAUCUUGAUCUAUCUCUAUAGAUCUUAAUGCCCAAUAUGUAAGCAGCUUCACCGAGGUCUUUCAUUGAAAAACUUUUAUUCAAGUAUCCUUUUAUGCUAUCCAGAAAUUCUAUAUCAUUUCCAAUCAACAAUAUGUCAUCCACAUAUAAUAUUAGAAAUGCUACAGAGCUCCCACUCACUUUCUUGUAAAUACAGGCUUCUCCAAAAGUCUGUAUAAAACCAUAUGCUUUGAUCACACUAUCAAAAUGUUUAUUCCAACUCCGAGAUGCUUGCACCAGUCCAUAAAUGGAUCACUGGAGCUUGCACACUUUGUUAGCACCUUUUGGAUCAACAAAACCUUCUGGUUGCAUCAUAUACAACUCUUCUUCCAGAAAUCCAUUCAAGAAUGCAGUUUUUACAUCCAUUUGCCAAAUUUCAUAAUCAUGAAAUGCAGCAAUAGCUAACAUGAUUCGGACAGACUUAAGCAUCGCUACGGGUGAGAAAGUCUCAUCGUAGUCAACCCCUUGAACUUGUCGAAAACCUUUCACAACAAGUCGAGCUUUAUAGACAGUUACAUUACCAUCAGCGUCAGUCUUCUUCUUAAAGAUCCAUUUAUUCUCAAUGGCUUGCCGAUCAUCGGGCAAGUCAACCAAAGUCCAUACUUUGUUUUCAUACAUGGAUCCCAUCUCAGAUUUCAUGGCCUCUAGCCAUUUUGCGGAAUCUGGGCUCAUCAUUGCUUCCUCAUAGUUCGUAGGUUCAUCAUGGUCAAGUAACAUGACUUCCAGAAUAGGAUUACCGUACCACUCUGGUGCGGAUCUUACUCUGGUAGACCUACAAGGUUCAGUAGAAACUUGAUCUGAAGUUUCAUGAUCAAUAUCAUUAGCUUCCUCACUAGUUGGUGUAGUUGUCACAGGAACCGGUUCUUGUGAUGAACUACUUUCCAACAAGGGAGUAGAUACAGUUAUCUCAUUAAGUUCUACUUUCCUCCCACUCACUUCUUUCGAGAGAAACUCCUUCUCUAGAAAGGAUCUGAUUUUAGCAACGAAAAUCUUGCCCUCAGAUCUGUGAUAGAAGGUGUACCCAAUAGUCUCUUUUGGGUAUCCUAUGAAGACACAUUUCUCCGAUUUGGGUUCGAGCUUAUCUGGUUGAAGUUUCUUCACAUAAGCUUCGCAGCCCCAAACUUUAAGAAACGACAACUUUGGUUUCUUGCCAAACCACAGUUCAUAAGGCGUCGUCUCAACGGAUUUUGAUGGUGCCCUAUUUAACGUGAAUGCGGCCGUCUCUAAAGCAUAACCCCAAAACGAUAGCGGUAAAUCAGUAAGAGACAUCAUAGAUCGCACCAUAUCUAGUAAAGUACGAUUACGACGUUCGGACACACCAUUUCGUUGUGGUGUUCCGGGUGGCGUGAGUUGCGAAACUAUUCCACAUUGUUUCAAGUGUUGACCAAACUCGUAACUCAAAUAUUCUCCUACACGAUCAGAUCGUAGAAACUUUAUUUUCUUGUUACGAUGAUUUUCCACUUCACUCUGAAAUUCUUUGAACUUUUCAAAUGUUUCAGACUUGUGUUUCAUUAAGUAGAUAUACCCAUAUCUGCUCAAAUCAUCUGUGAAGGUGAGAAAAUAACGAUACCCGCCACGAGCCUCAACAUUCAUUGGACCACAAACAUCAGUAUGUAUGAUCUCCAACAAAUCAGUUGCUCGCUCCAUAGUUCCGGAGAACGGCGUUUUAGUCAUCUUGCCCAUGAGGCACGGUUCGCAAGUACCAAGUGAUUCAUAAUCAAGUGAUUCCAAAAGCCCAUCAGUAUGGAGUUUCUUCAUGUGCUUUACACCGAUAUGACCUAAACGGCAGUGCCACAAAUAAGUUGCACCAUCGUUAUCAACUCUGCAUCUUUUGGUUUCAACACUAUGAAUAUGUGUAUCACUACUAUCGAGAUCCAAUAAAAAUAGACCACUCUUCAAGGGUGCAUGACCAUAAAAGAUAUUACUCAUAUAAAUAGAACAACCAUUAUUCUCUGAUUUAAAUGAAUAACUGUCUCGCAUCAAACAAGAUCCAGAUAGAAUGUUCAUGCUCAACGCUGGCACCAAAUAACAAUUAUUUAGGUCUAAAACUAAUCCCGAUGGUAGAUGUAGAGGUAGCGUGCCGACUACGAUCACAUCGACUUUGGAACCAUUUCCCACGCGCAUCGUCACCUCGUCCUUAGCCAAUCUUCGCUUAAUCCAUAGUCCCUGUUUCGAGUUGCAAAUAUUAGGAACAGAACCAAUAUCAAAUACCCAGGUGCUACUGCGAGCAUUAGUAAGGUACACAUCAAUAACAUGUAUAUCACAUAUACCUUUGUUCACUUUGCCAUCCUUCUUAUCCGCCAAAUACUUGGGGCAGUUCCGCUUCCAGUGACUAGUCUGCUUGCAGUAGAAGCACUUAGUUUCAGGCUUAGGUCCAGACUUGGGUUUCUUCUCUUGAGCAGCAACUUGCUUGUUGUUCUUCUUGAAGUUCCCCUUCUUCUUCCCUUUGCCCUUUUUCUUGAAACUAGUGGUCUUGUUGACCAUCAACACUUGAUGCUCCUUUUUGAUUUCUACCUCCGCAGCCUUUAGCAUUGCGAAGAGCUCGGGAAUUGUCUUGUUCAUCCCUUGCAUAUUAUAGUUCAUCACAAAGCUCUUGUAGCUUGGUGGCAGUGAUUGGAGAAUUUUGUCAAUGACGCUAUCAUCCAGAAGAUUAACUCCCAGUUGAAUCAAGUGAUUAUUAUACCCAGACAUUUUGAGUAUAUGCUCACUGACAGAACUAUUCUCCUCCAUCUUGCAGCUGUAGAACUUAUUGGAGACUUCAUAUCUCUCAAUCCGGGCAUUUGCUUGAAAUAUUAACUUCAACUCUUGGAACAUCUCAUAUGCUCCAUGACGUUCAAAACGUCGUUGAAGGCCCGGUUCUAAGCCGUAAAGCAUGGCACACUGAACUAUAGAGUAGUCAUCAGCUUUGCUCUGCCAGACGUUCACAACAUCUGGUGUUGCUCCUGCAGCAGGCCUGGCACCCAGCGGUGCUUCCAGGACGUAAUUCUUCUGUGCAGCAAUGAGGAUAAUCCUCAAGUUACGGACCCAGUCCGUGUAAUUGCUACCAUCAUCUUUCAACUUUGCUUUCUCAAGGAACGCAUUAAAAUUCAACGGAACAGCAGCACGAGCCAUCUAUCUACAAACAAACAUAGACAAGCAAAAUACUAUCAGGUACUAAGUUCAUGAUAAAUUUAAGUUCAACUAAUCAUAUUACUUAAGAACUCCCACUUAGACAGACAUCUCUCUAGUCAUCUAAGUGAUCACGUGAUCCAAAUCAACUAAACCAUGUCCGAUCAUCACGUGAGAUGGAGUAGUUUCAAUGGUGAACAUCACUAUGUUGAUCAUAUCUACUAUAUGAUUCACGUUCGACCUUUCGGUCUCUGUGUUCCGAAGCCAUAUCUGUAUAUGCUAGGCUCGUCAAGUAUGACCUGAGUAUUCCGCGUGUGCAACUGUUUUGCACCUGUUGUAUUUGAACGUAGAGCCUAUCACACCCGAUCAUCACGUGGUGUCUCAGCACGAAGAACUUUCGCGACGGUGCAUACUCAGGGAGAACACUUCUUGAUUACUAAGUGAGAGAUCAUCUUAAAAUGCUACCGUCAAUCAAAGCAAGAUAAGAUGCAUAAAGGAUAAACAUCACAUGCAAUCAAUAUAAGUGAUAUGAUAUGGCCAUCAUCAUCUUGUGCUUUGUGAUCUCCAUCUCCGAAGCACCAUCGUGAUCACCAUCGUCACCGGCGCGACACCUUGAUCUCCAUCAUAGUAUCAUUGUCGUUUACGCCAUCUAUUGCUUCUACGACUAUCGCUACCGCUUAGUGAUAAAGUAAAGCAAUUACAGGGCGUUUGCAUUUCAUACAAUAAAGCGACAACCAUAUGGCUCCUGCCAGUUGCCAAUAACUUCGGUUACAAAACAUGAUCAUCUCAUACAAUAAAAUAUAGCAUCACGUCUUGGCCAUAUCACAUCACAACAUGCCCUGCAAAAACAAGUUAGACGUCCUCUACUUUGUUGUUGCAAGUUUUACGUGGCUGCUACGGGCUGAGCAAGAACCGUUCUUACCUACACAUCAAAAACCACAAUGAUAGUUUGUCAAGUUGGUGCUAUUUAAACCUUCGCAAGGACCGGGCGUAGCCACACUUGGUUCAACUAAAGUUGGAGAAACUGACACCCGCUAGUCACCUGUGUGCAAAGCACGGCGGUAAAACCAGUCUCGCGUAAGCGUACGCAUAAUGUCGGUCCGGGCCGCUUCAUCCAACAAUACCGCCGAACCAAAGUAUGACAUGCUGGUAAGCAGUAUGACUUGUAUCGCCCACAACUCACUUGUGUUCUACUCAUGCAUAUAACAUCAACACAUAAAACCUAGGCUCGGAUGCCACUGUUGGGUAACGUAGUAAUUUCCAAAAAAAAAUCCUACGCACACGCAAGAUCAUGGUGAUGGCAUAGCAACGAGAGGGGAGAGUAUUGUCUACAUACCCUCGUAGACCGUUAAGCGGAAGCGUUAUGACAACGCGGUUGAUGUAGUCGUACGUCUUCACGAAUCGACCGAUCCAAGCACCGAACGUACGGCACCUCCGUGUUCAGCACACGUUCAACUCAAUGAUGUUCCCCGGGCUCCAAUCCAGCUAAGCGUCGGGGAUGAGUUCCGUCAGCACGACGGCGUGGUGACGAUUAUGAUGUUCUACCGGCACAGGGCUUCGCCUAAACUCCGCGACGAUAUGACCGAGGUGGAAUAUGGUGGAGGGGGGCACCGCACACGGCUAAGGAACGAUCCGGAUAGAUCAACUUGUGUGUCUAUGGGGUGCCAUCCUCCCCCAUAUAUAAAGGGGGAGAGGAGGAGGGGGCCGGCCUAAGGGGAGGCGCGCCCUAGGAGGGGAAAACCUACUCCAAGUAGGUUUGCCCCCUCCCUUUCCUAUUCCAAGAAGGAGGGGGAAGGAAGGAGUGGGAGAGGGGGAAGGCAAGGGGGGCGCCGCCCCCCUUUCCUUGUCCUAUUCGGACUCAAGGGGAGGGGACGCGCCUCUUGCCCUGGCCGGCCCCUCUCUCUCCACUAGGGCCCAUCAAGGCCCAUUACUUCUCGGGGGGGUUCCGGUAACCCUCCGGUACUCCGGUUUUUCUCCGAAAGUACCCGGAACACUUCCGGUGUCCGAAUAUAGUCAUCCAAUAUAUCAAUCUUUAUUUCUUGACCAUUUCGAGACUCCUCGUCAUGUCCGUGAUCACAUCCGGGACUCCGAACAACCUUGGGUACAUCAAAACUUAUAAACUCAUAAUAAAACUGUCAUCGUAACGUUAAGCGUGCGGACCCUACGGGUUCGAGAACUAUGUAGACAUGACCUAGAACUAUUCUCGGUCAAUAACCAAUAGCAGAACCUGGAUGUUCAUAUUGGUUCCCACAUAUUCUACGAAGAUCUUUAUCGGUCAAACCGCAUAACAACAUACGUUGUUCCCUUUGUCAUCGGUAUGUUACUUGCCCGAGAUUCGAUCGUUGGUAUCCAAUACCUAGUUCAAUCUCGUUACCGGCAAGUCUCUUUACUCGUUCCGUAAUACAUCAUCUCAUAACUAACUCAUUAGUUACAAUGCUUGCAAGGCUUAGGUGAUGAGUAUUACCGAGAGGGCCCAGAGAUACCUCUCCGACAAUCGGAGUGACAAAACCUAAUCUCGAAUUAUGCCAACUCAACAUGUACCUUUGGAGACACCUGUGGAGCACCUUUAUAAUCACCCAAUUACAUUGUGACGUUUGGUAGCACACAAAGUGUUCCUCCGAUAAACGGGAGUUGCACAAUCUCAUAGUUGCAGGAACUUUGUAUAAGUCAUGAAGAAAGCAAUAGCAACAUACUAAAUGAUCAAGUGCUAAGCUAACGGAAUGGGUCAAGUCAAUCACAUCAUUCUCCUAAUGAUGUGAUCCCAUUAAUCAAAUGACAACACAUGCCUAUGGUUAGGAAACAUAACCAUCUUUGAUCAAUGAGCUAGUUCAAGUAGAGGCAUACUAGUGACACUAUGUUUGUCUAUGUAUUCACACAUGUAUCAUGUUUCCGGUUAAUACAAUUCUAGCAUGAAUAAUAAACAUUUAUCAUGAUAUGAGGAAAUAAAUAAUAACUUUAUUAUUGCCUCUAGGGCAUAUUUCCUUCAGUAAUCACCUAAGUUAAAAACACUCCGAGUGGAGAGCGAUCCUCCCACUCAGGAGCUUAGCUGCGACCCCGUAAUCGCCUAAGUUAUAAACACUCCGAGUAGAGAGCAAUCCUCCCACUCGGGGACUUAGCUGCAACCCCGUAAUCGCCUAAGUCACAAAUAUGCUCUGAGCUCCGCCACAAAUACAACGUGCGCUCCAUCCCAAUCCGCAAGGAUGACGAGGUGUCGAUCGAACAUCACCUGUGAGCUACGCCACAAGUACAAUGUUCCGUCCCUAUCCGUGAGGACGACGAGGCGUCGACUGAGCACCACCUCUGAGCUACGCCACAAGUACAAUGUACUUUCAUUCAGCAAAGGUUGAGAAGACCAAGUCCACUCGGAACCGAAAGACAAUCAGAAACAGUCUAAAAACAGAGCAAAAGCCAUGAUAUUCAAAGAAAUCCAAGUUCAGAUAAACCCUGCAAAAGUUCAGAACUGCAGCGGACAGUAGUACUUAGGCAUCAAGCCUGAAAGAGUUUUACGAUUACAUAAUCACUCGGCAUUCUGAGGCAAAUAAGGGUGGGCGUAAUGCUUUUUGGUCACUCAUCAGGAGAAGGGACUGCUGGAUCACAGAAACUAUAAAGAUCAAUGUUGCCUGUGAUGUGAGUGGCAGCUUCAAGGAAAGUGUCCAUAAAGGACUGAAGUGUGCUUCUUGGUGUUCACCACCUUGAGGGCCGCCAACUUGUCUUCUCUGGCAUCCUUGCAGUCCACUCGGACCAGCGACAGGGCAAAGCCAGCGCCACGGUGAGCGGAUGAUUUCUUCCAUUCUUGCACUCGGCUAGGAAUCUGAUUCAGUCGAGUCAUCAACGACUUGUGAUCUUGUGAAAGUUCCGCCUGAGGCCAGAGUUCAGCAUCAACCCGAUUCAUCACCGCCUUCAGUCAGGCAAUAUAAGCAACAACACUGUCCAUGCGUGAUUCCAACCGCAACAUCAUCUUUAGCAGGACAAUUGAUGGGGUCGAGACCCGCCUCGACCCGCCCAGUCUCAGCCUCAAAGUCCUGACAAAGUUCUGCACAGUCGGAAAAAUGGUGAGUCAACAGUAUGACAAGGUGUAUCAAUCGAUAGCAGCAAAUCAGUCGAACGAUAAUACCUUCAAGCUUCAGGACCAGUUUUGCAGCAAGUUGUCCCAGAUAGGACUCCAGCUCGCCCUUCUUGACUUUGAGGUUUCCAAAUUCAUUGGUUAAGUUCUCCUUGUAUUUCUUCAGUUGCUCGACCUCCCGGUUGGCCUCAGAGACGGCAGUCUUCAGCUUAGAGUUCUCCUCUUCCAACUUGCUGACUGAAGCCAGCUUCUUGUCCGCAAGCACUGUCUUCUCUCGUGCCUCCUUCUGGGCAGCAGCAAGAUCCUGAUCCUUCUUCUCUAGAGCCUCCUUCAUUUUCUCUAAAGAAAUAACAUUCUUCAGAUGAGCUUGAAGUUGACGGUUUUCACUACGCACAUUUGUUGGAGUGAAGUCACUCGGUUCAAAGAGACUAAAAUGAGAAACACAGAGGAGUUCGAGUCACAAGAUGGACAGUUGACGAUCAGUUACCUCCCAUGAUAGCUGCUUCAUCCUGGGCAGUCUUGAGAUUCUUCUUCGCCAGUUCAAGAUCAAGAUUGAGGCUUAUUUGCUUCUUGUUCAGCUCAGAAAGUUGAGCCCCAAGAUCACAAGACCUCUGUAGUCAGUGAAUGAGAUAUAUCAGUCGACAGAAACAAAAGACAAUCACAGUGAAAGUUACUCUAAGACUACCGCCGAAUCAAACAUUCAACAGUAGUCUCGGGGACUACACCUAGUGGGUGCACUUAGCGUGCCCCCACUGGUUCAGUUCAAUACUCAGCAUGGUCUGCCCAGCAUGAGUUCAAAAAAAAGAACAAACAUAAGAGAUUCCCAGACCCCAAUCGAAUGCCAACAGUCGACCGUGGUCUCGGGGACUACACCCAGUGGGUGCACUCUGCGUGCCCCCACUGGUUCGGACAAACACUCGACUCAACCUAAGUCGACUGAAGUGGAGGACCUAUCCAACUCUAAGACAGACACACCCUAGUGGGUGAUUGGAUGUGAAACACAGACCCAUGAUAGUAGAUGCACAUAUGGGCAGCGAAGCAACAACGGAAGUUUUCAUUAUUCAAAAAGAUCAGUCGGGAAUCAACUAACCUUGGCAUUCGUUUGCAGAGCAAUGCUGGCAUUAUAAGCCACUUGACUAGCCUCGUGCACCACCUUCACCUGCUCCAUCACAAGAUUCACCUGGAGAAGAGCCUCCCUGGCGGCACUUGGCGAGUCAUCUGGAGUUUGGUACGUAGCAAAGAGCGAUGGUGCCAAGGCAGUCGAAGCAACCACUAGGUCGGAUGCAUGGAGUUGUACCGGAGUAGCAGGGGUCUGGGCAGUCGACCCUGAUGGGAGAUAAGUCGACAAUGGGUUAGCAAAAGUGAUGUUGGUCCAAACCGGAUCUCCGGAUCGCUCGACCACUGUCUGAAGCACCAGAGUCGACUGAGGGACCUGAACCUCAUGCGCUUUCCCGCUUGAUCCCUUGCUCCCCCUCCUCCUCUCCCUCAGAGGCACUUCUUCGUCAUCAUCAUCUGGAAGCACGACAACAUCUCGUGGAGCUACAACAAAGAGAAACAUUAGAAAUUCAACCGACCGACAUCUCAAUCGACAAGAAUAGAUUUGAGUCGAGCGGACUUAGUAGCUCUGGAGGUGGCCGCGUCGUCGGCUUCCUCGUCUCCUUGGGCCUUGUCAACGUCCAUAUCAGUCACGGCGGAGGUAGGGCUGGAAAAGUGUACUAUCCAUUCGAUCAGAAUAGAAGAGUCAGUCAGUGGAAGAAAACACAGAAAGAACACUCACCCAGAGGCAACAAGUACAUCCAUCUUAAUCCUGGGCAAAGUCUUCCGAGCUUUUGGAGGAACAACCUUGGGCUGCUUGGCGACUUUCUCUGUUGGCUCCGGAGUCGAAGUCCGAGUACGGUUCUGAGUUUGGGUACCGGAGGCCACGGUCUUACCGCGCCCGCCCACCGGGUCAUGGAGUAGUUUGGAUCGAUGCUACAAACAAGGUGGUGAGUCGACUGUCUCUUCGUCGUCCGACUCGUCGCUCUCCUAUUCGUCCUCGUCGUCUGGAGAUUGCCAAUUGCCACUCUCCUCCGCGUUGUCCUCUCCUUCCUGGUCCUGCUCCUGAACUUGUUCGCCAUUGGGCAUCGAGUACAUCUUGGUAUAAACCUACAAGAGAAGAAGUCGAGUGAAAGUCAGUCGGAUUCAAAGGCAGUCAGAAGAUGUACGCAAAUACAGUCGGUGGCAGAAACCGAACCUUGUCUGGUUGGUUGCUAUCGCUGAAGGGGUCGACUUUCCUGGCGUCUCUGGGGUUGUCUUUGUUUCUUGUGAUACUCCUCAACCACUGGGCCACAGACUUGGCCAGUACUUCCUUUGGAUGAACCCAUGCAGUGUCGUUGGCUCCAGAAUACAUCCACAUGGAGUGGUCGCGAGCUUGGAGCGGUUGGAACCGCCGACUGAGGAAUACCUCCAGUAAAUCCAUGCCGGUGAUGCCUUGAUUGAUCAACUGGACCACCCUCUCAACAAACAUGUUUGUUUCCACCCUCUCUGCAGUUGUCACUUUUAGUGAGGAAGGGGUCUGAACACGAUCGAAAGUGAAGGGAGGAAGUCCAGUCGACUAACCUGGAGUUGCAAUGUCCUGGCAGUAGAACCAGGUCGACUUCUAGCCCCUGACCGACUCAGGAAGGGUCAUGGAAGGGAAAGAGCUCCUCUUCCUAUUCUAGAUACCCAAACCCCCACACAUCUGGAUAACGUGUGUUUUCUCGUCACUCGUGUUUGCUUUCUUUACCGACUGGGAGCGGAUAGUGAAAAUGUGCUUGAAAAGACCCAGUGCGGUCGACAACCUAGAAAGUUCUCGUGCAUGGAAACGAACGCAGCUAGGUAUGUGAUGGUGUUGGGAGAAAAGUGAUGGAGUUGGGCUCCGAAGAAGUUCAAAAAACCCCAAAAAAAGGAUGCGGAGGGAGUGAGAAACCACAGUCGACAUGGGUGGCGAGCAAAACGCACUCACCCGGUCGCGGCUGCGGCUUCGUCUCCCCCUCCGGCAGCCGCACAACGCCAUCAGCGAUUAGACCGGACUCAGCCAGCUCAUCCAAGUCAUCCUUCCGGAGCGAGGAUCGGAUCCAAUCACCCUGGAUCCAACCCGGCGGCAACGCCGACCACGACGACGAUCCCUGAUUCUGCUUCUUGCUCUUCACCGCCCCCGUCGCCUUCUUCGCGUGUUCCAGCGCUGCCGUCUUGUCCUUCACCAUGGUGGCGGAGCGGCGGCGUCGAGAGCGGAGGAGCCGGAUGCGAUGGAGAAGCAGAGGAAACGGGGAUAAAUUGGACGCGCACAGUGCAGACGCCUCGGCUCCGUCGCCUUAUAAAGGCCCACUUCCGAGUGGCUGACGCGUGGGCCCAAGCGAUCCUAUCAAAUCCCGCAAUAGUCGCGCGCUGGAACAUGGCGGAAAAGGUGGUGUGGGGAUCGAGGUGCUCCUGUCUAUCCAUCCCACUUACCACGGCACGCUCCGUCCUGCGCGCUUCUCCAAAAAUUCAAAUCCCGUGAGAUCCAGGAUACACCAUAACCAAUCGCGCCAAAGAUUCCGCGCCCAAAAACAACACUCGACGGAUGAUGUCAGUGUCAAAACCGGCGGAUCUCGGGUAGGGGGUCCCGAUCUAUGCGUCUUAGGCUGAUGGUAACAGGAAGCAAGGGACACAAUGUUUACCCAGGUUCGGGCCCUCUCGAUGGAGGUAAAACCCUACUUCCUACUUGAUUAAUAUUGAAGAUACGUAGAAUACAAGAGUAGAUCUACCACGAGAUCGUAGAGGCUAAACCCUAAGAGAUAGCCUAUGAUGGUAUGAUUGUAAAUGUGAUCGGCCUUCUAAGACCAGACUCUCCGGUUUAUAUAGACACCGGAGAGCUAGGGUUUACAUGGAGUCGGUUACAAGGAAGGAAACAUAAUAUCCAGAUCACCAAGCUUGUCUUCCACACAAAGGAGAGUCCCAUCCGGACACGAGCCGAAGUCUUGAGUCUUGUAUCUUGACACUUCUAUAGUCCGGAUGAUGAAUAUAGUCCGGCUGUCCGGAUACCCCCUUAUCCAGGACUCCCUCAGUAGCCCCUGAACCAGGCUUCAAUGACGAUGAGUCCGGCAUGCAGUCUUGUCUUCGGCAUUGCAAGGCGGGUUCCUCCUCCGAAUACUCCAAGGUUAUUAUCGAACACGUAGGCCGUGUCCGGAUCUGCAAAAUGAUCCUCACAUACCACCGUAGAGAAAAUGAUACUUCAGCUGACAAUUUUUUGAUGACGUGACAUGCCACUAGAGCCAGGUCAUUAUUCGAACCGUUUUUCACAACCAGCCACACCGCGUAUUGCGAGGCGGUUUCCUUGACACGUCUUGUCAAAGCAGAGAUCGUGUCCCCUUAUCACGGGAUUCUCAUCAAUACAGGUAUGGGUAAUCUCCCCGUUCCAUCAAUCGUGGCGCUUGGGAAGUAAGCGAUUCUCAACAGGCUAGUGGGGAGGCACACCGCUUUCGUCGCCUCUAUAAAGGGAUAAGAGUUCCCCAUUCUUACCCACGCCUUCUUCCUCCCUCGCAUACUCUUGCCCCCUCAAGCUCCAGCGCCCCACCCCAGGUUUUCUCCGCACAGUUAGUCAUGUCCGGAGCAGGAGGCAAGUGGGUGGCUUCCACCGUGACGGAGAAGAAGGUCAUUAAUCUCCGGGCGGCCGGAUACUUGGCCGCAGAUAUAGCGCACCGGCUACCAGACGAGGGGCAGGUCAUUCCAACUCCAGGACCCCACGAGAGGGUCGUGUUCCUGGUCCACUUCAUCCAUGGACUGGGGUUUCCACUUCACCCCUUCGUCCACGGGCUCAUGUUCUACUACGGGCUAGACUUUCAUGAUCUAGCUCCGAACUUCGUCCUCAACAUCUCGACAUUCAUCGUCGUAUGUGAGGCUUUCCUCCGCAUCAAGCCUCAUUUCGGCUUGUGGCUGCAAAUCUUCUGCGUGAAGCCAAAGAUCGUGAGUGGCCAAUAAGCGGAGUGCGGAGGAGCCAUGGUGGGCAAAUGCCUAAUGUCACCUGGCCUGAAGGCUGCUUUGCAGAAACCGUGAAGGGGUGGCAAUCGAGGUGGUUCUACAUCACCGAGCCACGCGACGCCAACUGGGCGGCGGCCCCCGAGUUCCGAUCUGGAACCCCUAUGCGGCUCACCUCCUGGGAACAGAAGGGCCUGCUAUGGGGCGAAUCUACAGAGCUGACCGGACUCAUCAACUGCAUCAAGGGCAUGAAGGACAAGAACAUUAAUCUUGUCAACGUGAUCCAAGUUAUGCUCAUUCGCCGGAUUCUGUCGUGCCAAAGGCGGGCACUUAAUCUGUGGGAGUUCGACCCGGCCGAACACCAGACGCUUCAGAGGCUCUAUGGCAUGAAGCACAAGGACGCGUGGAAGGCGCUAUUUAAGGCCUCUGAAGUACCUCCUCUUAUAACUGAGGACCGCGGGCUCCACGCCGCACGGCACCCCACCCAGGUGAGUUCUCAGGCUGCCACUGGGUCCGGUUCUUCCCAAUGUAUUUAUGGAAAAUUCCUAAGUGAUUGUGUAUAUUCGUUUUAGGAGUAUGUGGAGACAGCGGAGCGGAUCGACAGUCCGGCUCCAUUGCCAGAAAGCCCAGCCAAUGAUCUUCUGAUGAAGAUGUUGGUCCCGGCACCUAUAAGGGGCCGGAGAAGAAGGCCGAUAAGAAGGCCCCGGGGACCCGAAAGGGCCUCCAAAAUAAGGUUGCGCAAGCCUCGUCCGAAGAUGACGAGGCGCACUCCUCCCCCGAAGGGGAAGGAGAAGAACAAGAAGAGGCCGCCCCGUCCAGAAAGGAUGGGGGGCCAGAGACGGCGAACCAGGGGGCCAGGAGAGGCCCUCGGCGUAAGGCCGUCAUACCCUUGUCGUCCGAUGACGACGAGGCAGAUUCCUCCCACGGAGGCGAGGAGGAACAAGGAGAAACACCACCUCCCCGCGCUGGGGGAGGGAAGAAGAGGAAGGCUGCCCCGGUGGGAGAGACUAGGACAUCCAAGAAGGGAAAGGCAUCCCUUCCGGACUACUCCGCCACCGCCGCCGAUAGCGAGGAAGGGUGGCUGCCCAGGAAGAAGCCCCUUGUGCGAUCAUAACUGUCCGCACUCAAUCGUAAUUUCACUUCAUAGUAUUGUUUAUAAUGCCGAACUUGUAUGCAGUCCGGCUAGGGUCCAUCCUGAAGUGUCGUCUUCAGACGGGUCCUUGAGUGAGUCCACAAUGAACUCACUCCCGACGGCCACGUCUCCUUGACCUGCGGACGACACGGAGGUGUUGUCCCGAAGGCUCCCAACAAUGGCGGAGGUGGCCCUGGAGGCGCCUCAAGGCGGCGUCCCAGAUGUCGGACUCGCGGGGUUCAAGGUCCCCGCGGAUCGUGUUGAUGAGAGCCACGGUAAGCCAGGCUCUAAGACGAACACUUCUGGAGCCUUCAGUGGUUCCGGACUUAGGCGGGCAGCCCCUCGUUAUGGAGGGAGGGCCGUCUAUAUCAAGGAAUUCCAUUGCACCCCAGGCGCCGGAUUGUCUGCUGGAAGCGCUUCGCGGCGCUUCCCUAGGUGAAGAGCACCGUACUCUCAUGAGUGCGGUGAUUCAGAAGGUUUCAUCCGCCAAGAGCGAACUGACCGAAGACUGCACCAGCCUCCUAACAGGCUUUGAGGUAAGCAAUAAAAAUAUGUGAAGUUACCACCCGAUAGGUAGUAGCCCCUGAUGCUCUGUUUGGUGUUUGGAAAGAAAAACCAAACGGAGGGUCAAUUAUAAUCCGCAGGAGUCUGACAAUAAUUUUGAAUGUAAUAAACAGGCUGUGUUGCUGGCCGCUGCUGCUCGCAUGGCCGAAAUCGCCGGCCUAACGCAAGAUUUAGAGCGGGCACAGGGAGAGCUCGGCCUUGCGAGGAGGCAGCUCGAGGAGAGCAAAGGUAAAUGAUUCCCCUAUCUCCUAUAAUGAAUAGUAAAUAAAAUUUGAUUAUGCUAACAACGAGACGUCGUGAUAUGGUAACAGAGGCCACCACCAAAGUGGCGUCUCUCAAGAAGGCGUUGUCCGAGGCCGAACACAAAGCGGCCUUGGAACUCAAGGAGCGCGAAAAGCAAGAGGCCCGAGUGGGCGAGGUGCAAGAAGAGCUCCGGGAUCUCGGCAAGAAGCUCGAGUCUGUGGAGCGGGAGCUUGAAGCAAAAGAGGCCGAACUGGUGAAGGCCCUUAAAAAUACAAAAGACGCCAAGGCCGAAGCCGACACGGCUCAGCAAGGGAUCCAGGAGGCCAAGAAAAUAGCGGCGGGUAAGAAAUUUUUUAUGCAAAGCAAACAUGUGGAGGAGGCGUUUCUUUUACUUACUCGAAUCCAGAGUUCUCCAGGGGCAUUCGCAGACCUGCCAUGCAGCAUAUCAGAUGCUGUGGAGUUCUACCGUGCCCAGGAGGGGAGCUCAAUGGAGAAGUUCUUCUGGUCUCAGUAUGCUGGGGCCGAACAUGCAACGCCUCUGAGUGACCAACUGAAGCAGUUGGUCGAACUCCACAAGGCAGCUGAAGUGGCUAUGAGAGAUCUCAUAGUUCGGAUAUGGCCUGGCGAGCUUCUGCCCACCAGCUACUUCGGCCUGAUCAAGCGGAUGGUGGAUUCCUGUCCGCGACUGGAAGUCAUCAAGCGAUACUUUUGUAUUGAGGGUGCCCGCCGGGCCCUUGCCCGCGCCAAGGUGCAUUUGGGCAAGCUGGAUGCGGAGAAGCUGGUGAAGGACGGGCCGCCAGAGGGCAAUCCGCAUCACGUCCCCGAGAAGUAUUAUGAUGGCAUUAUGAAGGGUGCUUGCCUCGUGGCCGAUGAAUGUAGCAAAGACAUAAUUUUCGAAUGAAUACACUUAUGUCAUGUUUGUAAAUUAAAGACGAAGUUACUUGCUGUAACGCCCCAGAUGUAACUUUCCAUAUUUGUAUCCAACUCUUGCCGUCUCCGGCGCUAAGUUAUAUUUAGUUCUCGGGUUCGGGUCUUUGUCUCCGUGUGUUGUUUUCUUUUUCGUGCAUCUCAUAUCAUGUCAUCACGUGCAUUGCAUUUGCAUACAUGUUCAUCUCAUGCAUUCGAGCUUUUUCCCCGUUGUCCGUUUUGCAUUCCGGCGUUUCGUUCUCCUCCGGUGGUCAUUUCUACCUUUCUUUCUUGUGUGGGGAUUAAACACUUCCGGAUUGGACCGAGUCUUGCCAAGCGGCCUUGGUUUACUACCGGUAGACCGCCUGUCAAGUUUCGGGUCAUUUGGACUUCGUUUGAUACCCCAACGGUUAACCGAGGGACCGAAAAGGCCUCGUGUGUGUUGCAGCCCAACACCCCCCAAAUUUGGCCCAAAACCCACCAAACUCUGCUCCAUGUCCUAGAGCGUUCGAUCACGAUCGUGUGGGCGAAAACCGCACCUCAUUUGGACUCUCCUAGCUCCACUUAUGCCUAUAUAUACCCCCCUCCAUUUCGGAUCUCGUCUUCCCCGUCCAAACCCUAGUUCAAAAAAAAAAANNNNNNNNNNNNNNNNNNNNNNNNNNNNNNNNNNNNNNNNNNNNNNNNNNNNNNNNNNNNNNNNNNNNNNNNNNNNNNNNNNNNNNNNNNNNNNNNNNNNUUGCCUUAUCCAUUCCUAUGAGCUUAAAUAGUCUUGAUCGCGUGGGUGUGAGAUUGCUGAGUCCCUGUGGCUCACAGAUACUACAACUCCAGAUGCAGGUCCAGGUGAUUCCGCUCCAGUUGACGAUUACGAGCUCAGGUGGGAGUUCGACGAGGACUCUCAGCGAUACUACGUGUCCUUUCCAGAUGAUCAGUAGUGGUGCCUAGUUGGGGUUAUCGAUUCAGGACCUUGUCGCAUGUUGGGGGUCUUUUCUAUUUUGGCACCGUAGUCGGGCCAUGAGUGAUUUGUUUGAUGAAUGUUAUUUAUGUACUCUGAUGUGACGUGGCGAGUGUAAGCCAACUAUGUUAUCUCCCCCUUUUAUUAUAUAUUACAUGGGAUGUUGUAAUGAUUGCCUGACUUGCGACAUUGCUUUCAAUGCGGUUAUGCCUCUAAGUCGUGCCUCGACACGUGGGAGCUAUAGCCGCAUCGAGGGCGUUACACUUGCGCUAUGCAGCGCUUUUGUGAUUUAAAAUAUUACCUUUUGUGCGGCUGUUUAUCAGAAUCUAAAAGUAGGCCAGUCGUCGGCUUCCGCCCCGUGUAACUAGUACUGGGGUGUUCGUGGAAAACCCGGACACUCUUUGUCCAAAUGUUUGGUCCCUUAAGGAGGUGUCCAGCGCAGCGAACCAGGCAAUUGGACUAUACAACUUUAUAACCUUCACUUAGCCAUAGAAGUCUAUGAUUUUAAAUUUCGGCGAAGCCCCUAGUAUCCGGAAGGCCGAAUUGGGGCGCUAUACACGCCUAUAUUGGACAAAGCGAAUUAUCGCCUAAGGCGGAAAAAUCUUUAGGGAUUUUAAAACCUCUCGAACAGCGACCAGCUCUCGCCACAUCAUGCCGGACAGUUUUGUGCUUUCUCUACUGAGGUGCUCAUCCGGAAAAACCAGGGCACAAUCGCAGUAGUUCUCCCUGCGCUACCUUAGCCGAUUUAACGGAACGUACGGUACCAAAAUAAGGGAGCCGGGCUAUCCCAACUGUAACCCAAGACAUGAUUCAGAGCUGAUGCAUAUAAUGCUAUAAGUUCGGGGUGCCGCACUGUUGAAAGUGUUCGGACUUGUCUUGCCGUAUUAUGGAGCGCUAUAAGAAGCCCCUGGCAAACUCAACGUACCAAAAUGUACGGAUGCAAAAUCAAAUAAACAUUUAUAAAAAAAUGCGAAAAAAUUGCACUGUAUAUUGUCUCCCAUUGAUAAAUAAUACGUUUAAGCGUAUGUUUACAAUGAAUGCAUUACGCGAAGAUAAAUAGGAUUAUUUGACAUAUCCUAUCCAGGAGCAGGCUACAUACAGAUAGAUAAAGCAGGAACAAUGAUCGGGAAUAGAUUCCACCUGGGUGUUUCCUGGUGUGCCUGAAGCCUGUUACCUCCUGGGUUUCCUCUCCUUUGUAAGUCCGACAAUCCGGCUCUUUUGGAGAAGCUGCACUAAAGCGAUGUCCUUAAGGGUAAAAGGAAAGGUUAUGAAGCAACACCGUACUGUUGACUGGCCGCGGAUACGCCUCCGCCUGUGCCCAUGAGUGCGUAAUUGUGUACGCGUGGCAUGAAUGCUGCUUGGGUGGGACUUGGGCGAAGGCCAGACUGCUAGUCAUGCUCUUGACGUGCCUGCUGAUCCUGUUGUAGGGUGUUCCGCCCUUGCUUGACGGAGCUUGAGGUUGUCGUCGCCGGAUUGGUGGUUUGCCGGAGUAGGCCGCAUUGUACUUCGGCCGCAAGGGCCGCAGUGUGUUCCUCUGUACGGAGAGAGCGGUCCAUAUUCCCGUUGACUGUUAUGACCCCGCGCGGGCCUGGCAUCUUGAGCUUGAGGUAUGCAUAGUGUGGUACCGCAUUAAAUCUAGCAAAUGCGGUUCGCCCGAGCAGUGCAUGGUAACCACUACGGAAAGGGACGAUAUCGAAGAUUAGCUCUUCGCUUCGGAAGUUAUCCGGAGAUCCGAAGACCACUUCCAAUGUUAUAGAGCCCGUACAGCGGGCCUCUACUCCAGGAAUGACACCCUUAAAGGUGGUUUUGGUGGGCUUAAUCCUUGAAGGGUCGAUGCCCAUUUUGUUCACCGUGUCCUGAUAAAGCAGGUUCAAGCUGCUGCCUCCGUCCAUAAGGACUCUUGUGAGGUGAAAUCCGUCUAUAAUUGGGUCUAAAACCAAUGCGGCUGAGCCGCCGUGACGGAUGCUAGUAGGAUGAUCCCUAUGAUCAAAGGUGAUCGGACAAGCUGACCAUGGGUUGAAUUUGGGGACGACUGGCUCCAUCGCAUAUACGUCCCGUAGUGCUCGCUUCCGUUCCCGCUUGGGGAUGUGGGUGGCGUAGAUCAUGUUGACCGUUUUCACCUGUGGGGGAAAUUUCUUUUGCCCCCCCCCAUGUUCAGACGCCGGGGCUCAUCAUCAUCGUUGUUGUGCAGCCCCUUGUCCUUGUUUUCAGCGUUUAUUUUGCCGGUCUGUUUGAAUACCCAGCAGUCUCUGUUGGUGUGGUUGGCUGGCUUGUCCGAGGUGCCAUGAAUUUGGCACGAGCGCUCCAGUAUAAGGUCCAGACUGGACGGUCCUUGAUUGUUACGCUUGAAUGGCUUCUUCCGCUGACCGGAUUUGGAUCCGCUGAAUCCGGCAUUGACCGCCGUAUCCUCGGUGUUGCCGCCAUUGUUCCGUCGCUUGUGUCUAUUGCGCCGUGGCUUGCCGUUGUUGUCCUGGACAUCUGAAGUUCCAGAGUGUGGCGUAGUGCUACUGCGAGCCAACCAGCUGUCCUCGCCCGCGCAAAAGCGGGUCAUUAGUGUCGUAAGAGCUACCAUGGACUUGGGUUUCUCCUGGCCGAGGUGUCUGGCGAGCCACUCGUCACGGAUAUUAUGCUUGAAAGCUGCCAGGGCUACGGCGUCCGGACAGUCGACUAUUUGGUUCUUUUUAGUUAGGAACCGAGUCCAGAAUUCCUGGCUGAUUCUCCGGGCUGUUGAGUAAUGUGGCUCAAGUCAUCGGCAUCCGGAGGUCGCACAUAUGUGCCCUAGAAGUUGUCAAGAAAUGCAUCUUCCAGAUUUUCCCAACUGCCAAUGGAAUUUGCGGGCAGACUGUUUAGCCAGUGCCGGGCAGGUCCUUUGAGCUUAAGGGGAAGAUACUUGAUGGCAUGUAGAUCAUCUCCGCGGGCCAUGUGAAUGUGGAGAAGGAAAUCUUUGAUCCAUACCGCGGGGUCUGUGGUGCCAUCGUAUGAUUCGAUGUUUACAGGUUUAAACCCUUCUGGGAAUUCAUGAUCCAUCACUUCAUCGGUGAAGCAGAGGGGGUGUGCGGCGCCUUUAUGCCGGGCUAUGUCACGAUGCAGUACGGCUGCGUCUGACUGGUUGUAUUCGGCCCGACCGGAUUUGCUGUUAGCGUAUCCGGUAUGACAGUCAUCGUCAUGUGCUCCGGCGCGCCCCCGUGAUCCGUAGAUCGAUCUUGGUUGUCCUGCGGCGUUAGCCAGUUUAUCGCGCAUGUCCUGAGUAUUGCCCCGGGCCGUAGUAAACCGGUGCGGAGGUACAGGCUGGUAUUUUGGCUGAUAUGCCAUUUUGUCCCGACCUCAAGGUGGUCGGUCAGCCAUGGGGUGCUCGAGUCCGUAUUCCUCAGCUGCCAGGACUUCUGUCCAUCUGUCUACGAGCAGAUCUUGAUCAGCUUGGAGCUGCUUCUUCUUCUUCUUCAGGCUUCUCGCAGUGGCAAUAAGCCGGCGCUUGAAGUGCUCCUGCUCCGCGGGGUCUUCGGGUAUGCCGAACUCGUCGUCACCGAGGCUAAUCUCGUCUUCGGAGAGGGGCAUGUAGUUGUCCUCCUCCGGAUACCCGUCCGCCACCUGUUCAUCUGGGCUGUCAUGCCCGUCUUCCUGUUCAGCCUGCUCGAAGGCGGGCUGUUUGGGGUUGUAUUCGUCGUCGGCAUCGUCCGUAUUGUUAUCGUCUCCGGUGCCGGUAUUGCCUUGGCGGGGCUUGGAGCGGCGCUGGCGACGCCCAUGCUUUGCUUUCUUCUUGGAGGGGUUAUCCUCCGUUGCCUCAUCGCCAUUGGUUUCUUUCGGAGUGUCCACCAUAUAUAUAUAUAUAUAUAUAUAUAUAUAUAUAUAUAUAUAUAUAUAUAUAUAUAUAUCAUACGAAGAGGUGGUUGUCCACUGCCCUGUGAGCGGUGGCCCCUGUAUGUCUCCUGCAUCGUUGUCCAUACCGUCGAUGUCUUCAAAGUCAAAGUCGAGUACGUUGGUUAAAUCAUCGAUCGUGGCGACAAAGUGGGUGGUGGGUGGGCAGCGAAUUCCUUUGUCGCCUGCUUCCCACUCAGGUCGGACAUAGUUCAGCCCAGAGCCUCCUGCCAAAGAGAGAGACUUCAAUGAGCUCAGCAUGUCGCCGAAGGGCGAGUGCUGAAAGAUGUCCGCAGUGGUAAACUCCAUUACCGGAACCCAGCCUGGCUCGGCUGGCUCGAGAGUGAGCGGACCAGGGCCAUUAGCCGGAUACGAGUCCGGGGGCCCAGGGUUACAUGCCUCCACUGAGGUGGGACCCGUGUUCAGCUCCACCGCCGAUAAGUGUGCGGCCUGCGGGGCGGGGUCCAGCCCUCCGUCCAUAGGCGACGCAACCUGCCCUAGAUUUAGAUCCGGGGCUGCUUAGGGGAUGAUGUCCCGGGCACUGUCCGACAUCAGGUCUAGGCCGUGCUCGUCGUGGCUGUCCGGCGCUCCUGGCACAGGCCCGAGCCCGUCGAAGAUCAAGUCUCCGCGGAUAUCUGCCGUGUAGUUCAAGUUUCCGAACCUGAUCUGGUGGCCAGGGGCGAAGCGGUCGAUCUGCUCCAAUUGGCCAAGCGAGUUGGCCAGCAGUGCGAAGCCGCCGAACACAAAGAUCUGACCGGGGAGAAAAGUCUCACCCUGGAUCGUGUUGUUGGCGAUUGAAGACGCCAUCAAGCCUCGAAGCGACGACACAGAGGAACUCUCAAUGAAAGCACCAAUGUCGGUGUCAAAAUCGGCGGAUAUCGGGUAGGGGGUCCCGAUCUGUGCGUCUUAGGCUGAUGGUAACAGGAAGCAAGGGACACAAUGUUUACCCAGGUUCGGGCCCUCUCGAUGGAGGUAAAACCCUACUUCCUGCUUGAUUAAUAUUGAAGAUACAUAGAAUACAAGAGUAGAUCUACCAAGAGAUCGUAGAGGCUAAACCCUAAGAGCUAGCCUAUGAUGGUAUGAUUGUAAAUGUGAUCGGCCUUCUAAGGACCACCCUCUCCGGUUUAUAGACACCGGAGAGCUAGGGUUUACAUGGAGUCGGUUACAAGGAAGGAAACAUAAUAUCCGGAUCGCCAAGCUUGUCUUCCACGCAAAGGAGAGUCCCAUCCAGACACGAGCCGAAGUCUUGAGUCUUGUAUCUUGACGCUUCUAUAGUCUGGACGUGAAUAUAGUCCGGUUGUCCAGAUACCCCCUUAUCCAGGACUCCCUCAUAUGAUGCUAUAAAUUCACUCAGCAAAUUUUGAAUUGAUCAAGGCGACUGAAGCGAGGCCGAAGUUCUAACAUGAGCCUUCCGUCUAACAUAAGUACUUGUGAAGCGCAAGGAUCGAAGCAAGAUCAACUUCAAGCUUCUUUUCACUCGGACCUCAAUCCAUUCGAGCGAUAAUGAUGAUGGUACAGACCUGGGGUAGGGUCAUAGGCCUGACCGAUACGUCCUACCCAAGGUCACUGGCCUAGAAGCAAAGAAGCUCAAGAGACAACAGGAAGUACCCAAUAAAGACGUCGAGUGCAAUCCACUCGACCAAUCAACCACUCGGGUACCCCUCCUUCACGAAGUCACACGACGAGUCAACCACUCGACCAUACAAGAAACCACUCGACCUAUGAAGACCGGGAGUCACUCAGAACAGCAACGGGCAAGCAUUCACUUCGUAGUCUUUAAGGUCAUUUAAGGCACUUAAGGCUGGCAUUACCAGUAACGCCCCAAUCUUUAUGUACAUUGAACCCUCUGUAACGGGAGAUGGCUGGGGUCCUGGCGAACUCUAUAUAAGCCACCCCCUCCCUUGGCACGAGGGUUCACACCCCCUGUAACACACACACUCAUAUAAUCUAGUCGACCGCCUUCGGGCACCGAGACAUAGGGAUUUUACCUCCUCCGAGAGGGGCUUGAACUCGUAAACACUUGCGUACAAUCUUGCCGUAGCUAGGACCUUACCUCCUCAUUCGUACCCCCUACACUUACUACCAGACUUAGUACCACGACAGCUACUCCCUUGUCUGAUAUAAUAUGCCCCAAAUAUUCCAAUGACUGCUGUCCAAAUGAACACUUGCUCUCUUUCACAUAAAAGUUAUUUUCUCUGAGAGUAGUUAACACUUCCCUUAGAUCCUGCAAGUGAUCCUCUAACGUGAAACUAAACACAAGUAUAUCAUCCAUGAACACCAGAACUCUUUUUCUGCCCUUUUUUCUGCCAGGAAACAAGAAAUUCAUCAUACACUGAAAAGUGACAGGUGUUGUUGCUAGACCAAAAGGGAUUACUUUGAAUUGGAAUUGUCCAUCAUGAGUUUUGAAAGCUGUUUUAUGCUCAUCCUCAUGCAGCAUCUUGAUCUGGUGGUAUCCAGCUCUUAAAUCUAGCUUGGAAAACCAUUUGGCCCCUCCCAGCUCAUCUAGCAGCUCAUCUAUUACAGGUAACGGAAAUCUGCUUUUAAUUGUGAGAUCAUUCAACUUCCUAUAGUCCACACAGAAUCUCCAUGAGCCAUCUUUUUUCUUUACUAAUAAAACUGGUGAGGCAAAAGGACUUAAGCUCAGUGUGAUCAGCCCUGCUUUCAACAUUUCAUCUACUUGCCUUUCAAUUUCCUUUUUUUGAAGGGGAGAGUAUCUGUAUGGUUUGCUGUUUACACGGACAGCUCCAGGUACCAGAUUGAUCACAUGGUCUAUGUGUCUGUGAGGAGGUAGUGUUUUUGGCUCACUAAACACAUCAGAGAACUCCUGUAAUACCUCUUUAAUUGGUGUAGCAACCCCAUCCUUUGCAUUCUUUUCCCAUACUGGUUGUAUUAAAGCAACUGCCAUAAUGUCAUUUCCUUUAUCUCACUUAACCACUUGCUCCACUGGGAUUUCCAUCAACUAUUUGUUUUCAGCUGGUAACACUCCUUGCAGUUUCACAGCUUGUCCUUAGUAAUCAAACUAGAUCCAUUUUUCAGCCCAUUGACAUUGCAUCACUCCCCAUUUCUCCAACCAGUCCAUGCCUAAUAUGAUAUCAUAUCCUCCCAGCUACAAAACCCUCAUUUCAUUAGUGAAAUUGUGGCCCUGUAUCCACCAAGUCAACUGUGGUACAUAUCUAGAGCACUGUAGCAGUUCACCAUUUGCCACAUUCACUGACAAGGGUGCAGGCUAAGUUUCUGAAGUCAACUUAACUCUGUCUAGUAGAGCUUGAUCCACAAAGGUGUGAGUACUUCCUGAAUCCAACAGUAUCAGCACCACCUGGUUCCCAAUCAGUGCCCUAAACUGUAUAGUCUUGGGAUGUGAAGCUCCAGACAGUGCCUAUACAGAAAUAGUGGCACACUCCUCUUGCUAUUCUUCCAACAAUGCAUCUAAGACAACAUCAGAAAUGAUUUGAUGAGGAUCUACACAUUCUGUUGCUUUCAAUUGGGCAGUACUAUUAUUAGUGUUGUUGCAUACAUGUCCAGGACUGUAUUUUUUCCCACAACUGUAGCAUAGUCUGUUUGCUCUCCUAUACUCUUUCAACUGUCUGGCCCUCCAAAGCUCACCUGGUGCCACUGCUGAUUUACCUUCCUGCUUGUUAUAUGCUCCUUUCUGUCCACUAGCUCUACUGCCCUUACUCUGGCCCAUUUGUCUUUCCUGAAUGAGAGCAUAUAGUGCAGCCUGGUGGACUAAUUGUGGCAACUGCAUCUCCACUCCAGCUCUCAAAUCCUCCUUCAGUCCCAUGAUAAACCUGUUCACCAGCAGAGUAUCACUUAUAGACGGUUCAUACAGCUUGAUGUUAUACACUAACUAAUGGAACUUGUUUCUGUACUCCUCAACAGAUCCCCACUGUUUUAGUUUCAUCAGCGACUGCAGCAGCUCCCUGUGAACAUUAACAUCAAAUUCGGUCAGUAAUGCUGCACAGAACUGCUCCCAGCUCGGCCAUCCUCCUCCUUGUUUAUAAGACUGAAACCAGUGUGCAGCAUUGUCCACUAGAUGCAAUGAUGCUGAAGUGACUCUGAAACCGUCAGAAAUAUUGAACAACUGAAAAAAUGUCUCGCAUUGGUCUAUCCAAAUCCUUACCCCUGUCCCGUCAAAUUUUGGAAAAUCCAUCUUCGGCAUCCAGUUCCUCUUCCCCGUCUCUUCCUCAUGCAUCACAUGCUCUCCUUGCUCACCACUUGGGUACGGAUUGGUUUUGUCGCGGAUGGCUCCUUGCUGUGGAGCCCAACGCCGCGGGAGCGGCUCCAAGCAGUCCCUCGGACAGCGGAGUCCCCUGAGAUCAUCUCCACGAGCCAUGUGGAUGUGAAGAAUAAAGUCCUCAAUCCAGACCGCGGGGUCUGUCGUUCCAUCGUAUGCCUCUAUAUUUACGGGUUUAAACCCCUCUAGAAAUUCAUGAUCCAGCACCUCAUCGGUGAAGCAUAGGGGGUGUGCGGCACCCCUAUAUUUGGAUGCGUCAUGGCAUGCCUCCGACGGUUGUCAUGUUCGGUGUUGAUUCCGAGCUGAUAUUCGAUCAGUAUAAUCGUUUCGGUGGCCGUGAUCCUGCGUCGGAGCACGCUUCCUAGAUCCAUAGAUGGACCUGGCCAUACCGUCUUUUUUGUCCAAGUGCUCACAUAAAUCAUGUGUUGACUUGUGUGCAGCGUCAUUAGCCGCCCUAUCGCGGCCACGGGGUGGUCGGUCCGGUGGAUCGGCCGUAUUAUUUUUCGUCGGAAUGGGCUCUAUAGCCUCGUCGUCGAAUUUGGGCAGCAGCUUGUGCUUUGGGUAGCUCUUUGUAUGGAGAUCGCCACCGUAUUUUUCUUCAGUGUCGAGCACUUUAUUCCAUCUGCGGUUGAGUGUAUCCUGCGGGGCCUUGAGCCUUUGCUUCUGCUUUUUCAAGCUCCUCGCGGUGGUGAUAAACCUUCUAUGGAGGUUCUCUUGUUCCAAGUGCCUCUCCAGGAUGAUGAGUGCAUCAUCGUCCGGACUGUUCUCCUCUCCGGAGACAGGUUUAUGAGUUUUAUCUCUGCCGUCACUAUGAUUGGACAGCGGCCCUAGACUAUGUUUACCGUCCCCUAGCUCAUCCUGUGCCAUCGCUGGGUUCAUGGGGUCGUCGUUGCCUUUGAGGUCAACCAGGGUGUUAUUCUUUCUUGCGAUGUUAUCGCUGUUUUUACUGUGGCGGGAUUUGGAGUGGCGCCGACGUCGUUGCUUUGGUUGCUUCUCGAGGGGAUUAUCCUCCGUUGCAUCCUUCCGUUCCUCGCUGUUGUUUAUUUUGGGUGUGUCCACCAUGUAUAUAUCAUAUGAUGAGGUGGUUGUCCAGUGCCCUGUGGGCGGUGGUUCCUGUUCUUCUCCUGCAUCGUCGUCCAUACCGUCGAUGUCUUCAGAGUCGAAGUCAAGCAUGUCAGUUAAGUCAUCGACGGUGGCUAUUAAGUGGGUGGUGGGUGGGGAACAAAUUUCUUCGUCGUCCGCUUCCCACUCAAGCCGGACAUAGUUCGGCCAGGAGUCUCCUGACAGAGAGAGAGACUUUAAUGAGUUUAUCACAUCGCCCAAGGGCGAGUGCUGAAAGAUAUCCGUGGAGGUAAACUCUAUGAUCAGUGCCCAAUCAGAUUCGAUAGGCGAGGAUGCAUGUGGUUCGGAGCCUAUGGCCGGAGACGAGUCCGAGGGUCCGAUGACACAGAUCUCAUUGGAGGCGAAGUCUGUGUUCAGCUCUAACAUCGCUGAGUGUGCGGCCUCCGUGGCAGGGUCCAUCCACCCGUCCUCGGAUGGCAUGAUCUGCUCUAGAUUAACAGCCGGGGCAGCCGCAGGUGUGAUCUCCCAAACACCGUCCGAUGGCAGAUCUAAGUCAUGCUCGUCGUGACUGUCCGGCGCACCUGACACGGGCUCGAAUCCGUCAAGGAUCCAGUCUCCGCGGAUGUCGGCGGUGUAGUUCAAGCUUCCAAACCUGACCUAAUGGCCAGGGGCGUAGCUAUGGAUCUGCUCCAGGUGGCCAAGUGAGUUGGCCCGCAGUACGAAGCCACCGAAUACGAAGAUCUGUCCGGGAAGGAAAACCUCACCCUGGACCGCGUCGUUGUAGCUGAUUAAAGGAGCCAUCAAGCCUUAUCGCGACGACACAGUGGAACUCUCCACGAGAGCACCAAUGUCGGUGUCAAAACCGGCGGAUCCCGGGUAGGGGGUCCCAAACUGUGCGUCUAAGGCUAAUGGUAACAGGAGGCUGGGGACACAAUGUUUACCCAGGUCCGGGCCCUCUCAAUGGAGGUAAUACCCUGCUUCCCGCUUGAUUGAUCUUGAUGAUAUGAUUAUUACAAGAGUAGAUCUACCACGAGAUCGUAGAGGCUAAACCCUAGAAGCUAGCCUAUGAUUAUGAUUGUUCUUGUCCUACGGCCUAAACCCUCUGGUUUAUAUAGACACCGGAGGGGGCUAGGGUUACAUAGAGUCGGUUACAGAGAAGGACAUCUACAUAUCCGGAUUGCCAAGCUUGCCUUCCACGCAAAGGAGAGUCCCACCCGGACAUGGGACAAAGUCUUCAAUCUUGUAUCUUCAUAGUCCAACAGUCCGGCCAAAGUAUAUAGUCCGGCUGUCCGAGGACCCCCUAAUCCAGGACUCCCUCAACCACACCCAAAGAAAUCUAGCAAUAGGUGUUGUAACAUAUCAAGGAGUAUGAACCACACAAUGCAAGAACAUGCCCUAAGCACAUAGAAGUAGCUGAAAUGAGGAGUCAAAAGCCAGAAAGAAAGCGAAAAGAAACCUAGAGCCAGCACAAAGAAAGUGGUGGAAGAUGAUGAUGAGCAAGACUUUGAAGAUGAGGACGAGGAACAAGAGAAGAUGAAGACAUCGUCGGAGAAGAGGAAGAGGUACAUGUCAAACAUAAACCACAAGCAGCAAAGCCUAGGAGGAGCGCAAGGUUGAUGAACAAUUAGAGUAGGUUGAUUAAACAAAGCAAACUUAUGUCGAUUAAAUAAAGCAAACUUAUGUCAUGUCAGUAUCUCUUAUGUUAUUACACUAUUGAAAAGAAUUUUUGGAGAAGUUCAAACUAAGCACACUGUCAAAGUUUUCAAAGUAAUUAUACUGUAGAGGUUCAUGUAAGCUUAUUGUGGAAGUUCUGGUAUAACAUGUCAGGAGGUGUUGGUGCUGUAUUUCAUAAAACAGCAAGCAGGAAUGAAGAAUAAACUGUAGAAGUUCAUGUAAGCUUAUUGUGGAAGUUCUGGUGUAACAUGUGAGGAGGUGUUGGUGUUGUAUUACAUAAAACAACAAGUAGGAAUAAGGAAAUAACCUAUGAAGUUCAAGUAAGCUUACUACAGAAGUUCUAGUAUAACAUGUGAGGAGAUGUUGGUGCUGUGUUACAAUAAAAAGAGCAAGCAGGAAUAAAUGUAAUAACUAUGAAAUUCAAGUAAGCUUGUUGUAGAAGUUCUGGCAUAACAAUCGAAUAAUCGAUGUAGCAAAAAAUAUGCUUGACAAAUAAGUAUUGCCGUAUAAACUAAGUUACUAAGCCAAACAUGACGUGUGCAAUUAUGAAGUUCUAACUCGAUAUCCAGAAAAGUUCACAUAGAAUGACGACAAAGAUAAAGAAACACAAAGGAGUGUAUGAGAAUAUUUUUACACGAAGUUUGUUUAAAAUUUAUUAGCAGUUGAAAGAAUUACAAGAAAAAAAGACAUAUAUCUUCUAUGCAAAAGGCUACAUUUUGAAUGAGUUGAAAAAUAAUAAAUAUAUUUUACAACCCAAAAUUCUCUCCUUCUUAAACCAACAGUUCAACUAGAUCUCAAGCAGAAGUUCGAGUGCAUAUGCUUUCAAAGCAAAACAAUACUUGAUUCUGUGGACAAAAAACUCUAUCCACAUUAAACCAGCAGUUCAGCUAGAACACAUGCAGAAGUUCAAGUUCUUAUGUUGGGCCAUGAUAACCCACAAGUAUAUGGGAUCGCAAUAGUUUUCGAGGGUAGAGUAUUCAACCCAAAUUUAUAGAGUCGACAUAAGGGGAGCCAAAGAAUAUUUGCAAGUAUUAGCAGCUGAGUUAUCAAUUCAACAACACCUAGAGAUUAAUUAUCUACAGCAAAGUGAUCAGUAGCAAAGUAGUAUGAUAGUUUUGGUAAUAGUAGCAACAACAAUAGUAACAGUAACAGUGAUAGCAGUGAUUUUGUAGCAAUAACGAUAGCAGUAGCAAUAGUAGUAACUUAGUAGAAAAAAUAUAAGGUAAAUUCAUAGGCAUUGGAUCGGUGAUUCGUUGGAUGAUAUUCAUCAUGAGACAUUCAUAACCUUGGGUGAUACGUCACUAGCUCCCGUUCAUAAAUAUAAUGUAGGCAUGUAUUCCGUAAAUAGUCAUACGUGCUUAUGGAAAGAACUUGCAUGGCAUCUUUUGUCUUACCCUCCCGUGGCAGCGGGGUCCUAUUGGAAACUGAGGGAUAUUAAGGCCUCCUUUUAAUAGAGAACUGGAACAAAGCAUUAACACACGGUGAAUACAUGAACUCCUCAAACUACGGUCAUCACCGGGAGUGGUCCCGACUAUUGUCACUCCAGGGUUGCCGGAUCAUAACACGUAGUAGGUGACUAUAACUUGCAAGAUUGGAUCUAGAACAUGGAUAUAAUGGCGAUAACAUAAAUGGUUCUGAUCUGAAAUCAUGGCACCCGGGCCCAAAGUGACAAGCAUUAAGCAUGGCAAAGUCAUAGCAACAUCAAUCUUAGAACAUAAUGGAUAGUAGGGAUCAAGCCCUAACAAAACUAACUCGAUUACAUGAUGAAUCACAUCCAACUCCUCACCGACCAGCGAGCCUACAAAGGAAUUACCCACUCCCGGUGGGGAGCAUCAUGGAAUUGGCGAUGGAAAAGUGUUGAUGAUGACGAAGAUGGAAGAUCCCCCUCUUCGGAGCCCCAAACGGACUCCAGAUCUGGCAUCCCGAUGAAGAACGGGAGACGGCGACAGCUCCGUCUCAUGAGACGCGAUAAUUCUUUCUCCUUGAUUUUUUUCUGGAAAUAUGUGAUUUUAUAGCGUCGGUUUCAGGGUCUGCGGAGCCACUAGGUGAUGACAACCCACCUGGGCGCGCCUGGAGGGGGUGGCGCACCCUGGUGGGUUGUGCCCACCCAGGUGCUCCCCUCCGGUGGUUCUUGGCUUCAAAAAUUCUCUUCUAUUGUAUAAAAAAUCCUCGCAAAGCUUUGUUCCAUUCUGAGAACUUUUAUUUCUGCACAAAAGCAACACCAUGGUAGUUCUGCUGAAAAUAGCUUCAGUCCGGGUUAGUUUCAUUCAAAUCAUGCAAAUUAGAGUCCAAAACAAGAGAAAAAGCGUUAGUGGAAGUAGAUACGAUGGAGAUGUAUCAACUCCCCCAAGCUUAAUCCUUUGCUUGUCCUCAAGCAAUUCGGUUGAUAAACUGAAAGUGAAAAAGAAAAACUUUUACGAACUAUUUUGCUCUUGUUUCAGUAAAUAAGCUUAAACAGCACCCAGGUUUUUAGCAAAGAUUAUAACUAACCAUGUCGACAAUAACUCUUAAAAAUUAUAUUAACUCGUAUCAAUGACAUAACCAACUAGCCAGCAAUAAUAAGACAUCUCAAAUAGCAACACGUUGUUAAAAAAACCGUGAUACAAUAUGACAAUAGUGGUAUCUCCCUAGCCCUUUCUGAGACCGCAAAACAUAAAUGCAGAGCACCCCCGAAGUUCAAGCAGCGACUAAACAUUGUAAUUCAUGGUAGAAAAGAUCCAGUCAUGAUGCACCCAACAUUAGCUAUACACAAUGCAUCAGCAUGAAAGCAGUGCUCUCAGGUUCUGGCGCUUAUUUGAGAAGGUGAUCACACAAUACAAAAGUAAAUAGAUAGUCCCUUCGCAGAGGGAAGCAGUGAUUUGUAGAGGUGCCAGAGCUCAAGUUUGUAAAACAGAGGUAAAUGAAAUUUUGAGAGAUGCACCCUUCUUGUUUACUUCACGACCAUCAGUUAUCAAUAUCUUCCAUGCUACACAAAUUAGUAGCGGUUCCCAAGCGGUAAAGUAAAGGUUUUUGCUCCAUAGGAGUUUUUGUUUGAUUAUUGAUAAGUUCUUUUUGCAAUUUGGGACUUGGAAUCCCUAUUAUCGCUCUUUUCUCGUGCAAUGCUGAGUGAAUAAACACCCAACCUGAGAAUAACCCGCUUAGCAUGGAAGAUACCAACUACCUCCUGUCGCUCUAUCAACAAUCCAGGAAGGGUAUUUAUUUGAAGUUUUAGAGGUGGCACAUGCAAAUUUACUUAGGACAGCAGGGUAAUACCGCAUAUAGGUAGGUAUGGUGGACUCAUCUGGAAUAACUUGGGUUUCAGGUUUUUGAUGUACAAGCAGAAUUCUCACUUAGUACAGGCGAAGGCUAGCAAAUAGGUUGAGAAGAAGCCAACUAGAGAGCAACAACGGUCAUGAACAUGCGUUAUGCAUAAGUAACAUUGGAUACUAGCAUGAGUAGGAUAUGAACACCAUGAACAUAAAUAUCAUAGAGGCUAUGUUGGUUUUGAUUCAACUACAUGCAUGAACAUGUGCCAAGUCAAGCCACUCGAACAUUCAGAGGAGGAUACCAUAUCAUCAUACUAUAUCACAAUCAUUUUAAUGCAAUGUUGUCAUCCAAGAUAAAUCAUUAUCCACUCCUAGCUACUUAUGCAUGGCAUGAGAAACAUAUCAUCUGGUGAAUAAAAAUAUAGCCUUAAGUAAUUUUACCGAUGGAUUGAAGACGAAAGAGGGGAUGCCAUCCGGGGCAUCCCCAAGCAUAAAUGCUUGGUUGUCCUUGAAUAUUACCUUGGGGUGCCUUGGGCAUCCCCAAUCUUAGGCUCUUGCUACUCCUUAUUCCAUAGUCCAUCAAAACUUUAUCCAAAACUUGAAAACCUCACAACACAAAACUCAACAGAAAACUCGUAAACUCCGUUAGUAUAAUAAAAUAAAUCACCACUUUUGGUACUGUUGUGAACUCAUUAUAAAUUUAUAAUGGUGUUAUAUCUACUGUAUUCUAACUUCUCCAUGGUUCAUACCCCCCGAUACUACCCGUAGAUUCAUCAAAAUAAGCAAACAACACAUAGAAAACAGAACAGUCUCUAGCAAUCUAGAAAUUUUGUAUACUUAUGUAACUCUAAAAAUUCUUUAAAAUUAGGACAAACUGGGAAAUAUUCAUAUAAAUCUUGUGUAAACAAUUCAUAUCAAAAUCAAGCUUAUGUGAAUUUUCAAAAUUCCAGCAAUUAGCAUGAAAGUUUCUGUUUUUCAGCAAAAUCAAAUCAACUAUCACCAUAGAUCAUCCCAAAGGCUCAACUUGGCUCAAGCACUAAUUAAAACACUUAAAAACAAUUAAUACAGAAUUAAUAUUGUGUAUUUAUUGGAAAAUAGAAGCAAAAACAAAAACACAAAAUAAAAUUGGGUUGCCUCCCAACAAGCGCUAUUGUUUAAUGUCCCUAGCUAGGCAUAAUGCAAAGAUCUAGGUAUUAUCAUCUGUGGUAUUCAAUCCAUAAGUGAUCCUCAUAAUAGUUUCAUAUGGCAACUUCAUUUUAUUUCUUGGAAAGUGUUCCAUACCCUUCCUUAAUGGAAAUUGAAAUCGAAUAUUUCCUUCUUUCAUAUCAAUAAUUACAGCAGUCGUUGUAAGGAAAGGUCUACCAAGAAUAAUAGGGCAUGUAGGAUUGCAAUCUAUAUCAAGCACAAUAAAAUAUACGGGCACAUAAUUCCUAUUAGCAAAAAUUAAGAACAUCAUUAAUUCUUCCCAUAAGUUUCUUAAUAGUGGAAUCCGCUAAGUGCAAAUUUAAGGAACAAUCAUCAAGUUUAUGGAAACCUAGCACAUCACAUAAAGUUUUUGGAAUCAUAGAAACGCUAGGACCUAAAUAACACAAAAGCAUUGCACUCAUAAUCUUAAUUGUAGGUUCCCAUUCAUCAUAGAGCUUUCUAGCGAUUGAAAUUUCUAACUCAAGUUUUUUUCCAAAAGAUUUCAUCAUAACAUCAAUGAUAUGUUUAGUAAAAGCCUUAUUUUGAUUAUAAGCAUGAGGUGAAUUAAGCAUGGAUUGCAACAAGGAAAUACAAUAAAUCAAAAAACAAUUAUCAUAAUUAAAGUCCUUGAAAUCCAAAAGAGUGGGUCCAUCACUAGUUAAAGUCUUGACCUCUCCAAUCCCACUUUUAUCAAAAUUUUCAUUAAGAUCAUUACUCUCCAAAUUAGUGGGACGCCUUUUAGCUAAAGUUGACUCAUCUCUGGUCCCAUCUUGAUCAAGUUUUAUAAUAGCAAACAAUGAUUCAAUAAGAGUUACACCAAUUACUUUAAGAUCUUCAUCAUAAUUAUCGCAAAAACUGGAAGAACAUGCCUUUUUGAACCAAUAUUUUUUAGCACGCAUCCUAGCGGUUCUUUACUUACUUUCGUGAAUAGAGAUCUGAAUAGUUUCCAAAGAUUCAUUAAUGUCAAGCUUGGGUGGCAUAGAUCUAACCUUAAAAGAAUCAAUCUUAUGAGAAAUUGUAUCAACGUUCCUAGCCAAAUCAACAAUUUUGAGCAAUUUUUCUUCUACCAUAGCAUUGAAAAUCUUUUGAGAUUUUAGGAAAUCUUUAAUACUAUUCUCAAGAUCAUAAGGUAUCUUAUUAUAAUUUCCAUAAGAAUUGUUGUGGGAAUUGCCAUAAUUAUUAGAGGAAUUACUAGGAAACGACCUAGGAUUCAAAUUGCCUCUAUACGCGUUAUUACCAAAAUUGUUCCUAUCAACAAAACUCAUAUCCAUAGAUUCAUUAUUAUUAUCAAUCAAAGUAGACAAAGGCAUAUCAUUAGGAUCAAUAGGAGCACCCUUGCUAGCAAUCAAUUUCAUAAGUUCAUCCAUCUUUUCACUCAAAGUAUUAAUCUCUUCAAUGGCAUGCACUUUUUACUAGUAGAGGAUCUUCUGGUAUGGCAGUGAGAGUAAUUUUCCAUAAUAUUAUCUACGAUUUUGGUAGCGUCUCCUAAUGUGAUUUUCAUAAAAGUACCUCCCGCGGCGGAAUCUAAAAGAUUUUUAGAUGCAAAAUUCAAUCCAGCAUAAAAAAGUUGUAUGAUCAUCCAUAAACUUAAAACAUGAGUAGGGCAAUUUCUUAUCAUCAAUUUCAUCCUCUCCCAACAUUAUGCAACAUGUUUAUGAUCAAGUUGCUUAAAGUUCAUUAUAUCUUUCCUAAGGGAGAUGAUCUUAGCGGGAGGAAAAUACUUGAAAAUAAAAGCAUCUUUACACUUAUCCCAUGAAUAAAUACUAUUUUUAGGCAAAAAUGAAAACCAAGUUUUAGCACGAUCUCGAAGUGAGAACGAAAAUAGCUUCAAGUUAACAAUAUCAUUAUCACAUCUUUUUUUCUUUUGCAUAUCACAUAACUCAACGAAAGUAUUUACAUGGGAUGCAUCAUCUUCAUUAGGGCUACCAGAAAAUUGUUCUUUCAUGACGAGAUUCAACAAAGCGGCAUUAAUUUCAUAAGAUUUCGCACUAGUGGUAGGAGUAAUCGGUGUACUAUUAAAAUCAUUAUUAUUAGUUUUGGAAAAAUCACACAACUUGGUAUUUUAUUGAGACAUCUUGACCAAGCAAGCAAUCUAGCACACAAACAAGCAAAAGGCAAACAAAAGGACGAACGGGAAAAUGGUGAAUAAAAAGUCAAAUAUUUUUGUGUUUUUCUUAAAAUGUUUUAGAAGUGGGGGAGAUGAAAACGAGAGGCAAAUGGCAAAUAAUGUAAGUGAAAGAGAUGAGAGUUUAUGAUAGGUACUUGGUAGGCUUGAUGUAGAACCUCCCCGACGACGGCACCAGAAAUUAUUCCUGCUAUACUUCUUGAGCUUUCGUUGAUUUUUUCCUCAAAGAGGAAAGGGAGAUGCAGCAAAGUAGAGAUAAGUAUUUCCCUAAGUUAAGAACAAAGUUAUCAAUGCAGUAAGAGGCACAAGCAAGUCCCCAAUAGAUGCACCUGCACAAACUAACAAACACUUGCACACAACGUGAAAAAGGGUUUGCCAAUCCCUUCACAGUCACUAGCAAAAGUGAGAUCUGAUAGAGAUAGGUAUAAAAGAUAAGUAAAGGUGCAAAAUAAAGUAAAUAUAAAUAAAGUGCACCAAGGUAUUUUUGUAAUUUUGGUUUUAUAGAUUUGAAAAUAUAUGAUGCAAAAUAGACCCCGGGGUCAUAGUUGUUGAGCAACUGAUAGAAAAGUGCAUAGUAAUGACGAUAUCCAAGGUAAUGAUCAUGAAUAUAGGCAUCACGUCUAUGACAAGUAGACCGAAACGAUUCUGCAUCUACUACUCCUACUCCACACAUCGACCGCUAUCUAGCAAUGUAUCUAGUGCAUUAAGUUACAAGAGCGGAGUAACGCCUUAAGCAAGAUGACAUGAUGCAGAGGGAUAAACUCAAGUAAUAUGAUAUAAGCCCCAUCUUUUUGUCCUUAAUGGCAACAAUACAAAUACGUGCCUCGCUACCCCUACUGUCAUUGGGUGAGGAUUAAAGUUAGGGGAGUCCCUAGGGGCCCACAAGCCCUGGAGGCGCCCCCCUAGGGCGCGGCCUCCAGGCUUGUGGCCACCUCAUGGUUCUUCUGGCCUCCUCCCGAAGCUCCGUGCGUAUCUUCUGGUCCAAGAAAAACCAUAGUAAAGUUUUAUUCUGUUUGGACUCCGUUUGAUAUUGAUUUUCUGUAAAUAGAAAAACAAGGAAAAAAUAUCAACUAGCACUGAGCACUAGAUUAAUAGAUUAGUCCCAAAAAAUGAUAUAAUAUAGUACAAUAAUGCAUAUGAAAUAUCCAAGAUGGAUAAUAUAAUAGCAUGGAACAAUAAAAAAUUAUAGAUACAUUGAAGACGUAUCAGUUAGUCCCUAAAAUAAUAUAAAAUAGCAUAUAGAUGCAUAUAAAACUUACAAGAUUGAUAAUAUAAUAACAUGAAGGAAUCAAAAAUUAUAGAUACGUUGGAGACGUAUCAAUCAUCUUGCUUGCGUCGUACCAAACUUGAUACUCUUGGAGUUGUUGGGACUCGAGGUGCUUUGGGUCCUUAUGGAAACUUCCUCAUUGUUGUGCGCUCUUUUGAAGCUUUUGAAAGUUCGGUGGUCACCCAAGACCAACUACAAGUGGAUUUUGGUCCUUGUUUUGGUGAAAGGCUCACAUAGGCGAACACUUCUUAAAAUGACAUGAAUAUUUUUUCCAAAACAUGUGCAGACAUUUUAAAAUUACAAGAACCUUUUCCCAAAAGUCACAAACACUUCUAAAAAUUACAUGAGUAUUUUCUAAUUGAGGUGAACACUUUUAAAACUUACAUGAACAUUUAAAAGAAUAUGCGAACACCUCUAAAUCAUAUAAAUGUAGGCGUGAACACUUUCUAAACUAUUUGAACAUUUUUCAAACACAUGUAUAAUUUUUUUAAACCUUACAUGGUUUUUAAUGAAUAAAUUUUAAGCAAAUUGUAUAAAUAUUUGUCUAAAAUAGAUGCACACUUUUUAAAUUAAACAACAUUCUAAAAAUUCAUAUUUUCCUAUUUUAAAAACAUUAAAAAUUUGUUAUCCUUUUUAAAAAUGCACACAGAGUUUCUAACUAGAGAAACACUUUAUAACUAAGUGAUCCAUUGUUGAAACACAAAGAUUUUUUCUAUUGCCAUGUACAUUUAAAAAUUAAGUGAAUAUCAACUCCAAAAAUAUGUGAACUUUAUUUAGAAGUAUAGACUUUUUUUCCUUUCUAUAAUAUUUGUUUUACUUUUUAUUAUCAAAUACAUUAUAAUAUUUUUAAUAACAUUUCUACGAAAAGAAUAAACAACUCACAAUGUCUCAUUCUAAUCUCGAGCUCAAAUGCUCCUCCUAUGAAUAGUUAAACCUACAAAACAGCAAAAAAAAAA
rnacentral:lncRNA from 1 species